ACUGUGACCAUACCUGAAUGCAGAUGUCUUGGCCACAGUUAUCCAUGCUCUGGGAACCUCUAUACGCUGUCACUAACUGAAGUGAGUUGGAUGGCUAACAGGGAGGCUGGCUAAUGUGCCUAAUGGUAAAUAGGCUGGCCAAGGGACACAGCACCAUUCACAAGGUGGCUGCUCCAAGGCUGGGGAGUUUUGUGUCAGCCACCCACAAGAGCAGGCAGCAAGACAAAAUCUCCCAACGCAAACAGCUUCUGAUACGCCCUUUCAGAGCCCUCACAAGUCUUUCUCUGGUUGCAAGCUAAAUCCGUCACUCACAUGACUACCACAUGCCCCUUCCUUAGUAUUUUCCUUUUAUGUAGCGGCUGGAGAACUUGUAGGAAGUUCAAAAUAAAUCAACUUGGGACACCACCCCCCAAAAAGAAAACACACCUUCCAAGGCAAUUCUGAAGCCUCAGGCCUAGCCCACUUCACCUUGGACUGCUUUGGACUCGAGGCACCUCAUAAUCAGAGGCAGCCCAAUAUCUCAGAAGAGGUAUUUUCACAGGUAUACUAACCUAAUAUUUUCCCUUAUUUGUGGUGUUUUUGUAGCCCACUGGUGUAGAUUGCUUUAAUGAUUCUGCACUUGCUCAGUAAGGCAGCUGAAGCCCAUAAACAGCCAGUUACCUCAGUGCGAUUAGGAUGGUGUCCUGCUUUCUCCUCUCGGCAAUUCUCUAAGCCAUUUUAAAAACAGAUUAGGAGUGAGGCUUCCCUUAAAGUUUCAAAAUGAGUCACGGAUUUCCUUGUCCGUUUAUACUGUUUUAUAUUAUAAAAGACUGUAAGUUAGUUUCUGGGUUGCUGUCCCUGUCAGCCAUUUUGAGAAGAACACUGGAGCUGAGGUGAAAUAAGAAGACCCUUUUCCCUCUUGGGCUGAUGAAAGAUCAAACUUCACGUAGAAGUUUCUUCAAGGAGAGCCUGAAGAAAACAGACUUCUGAGAGGUUGGUGUUGCAUUUUACUGUUUUGUGAUUUUUUAAAUUUAUUUUUUGUAAAUUGUAUCAUGCAUGCAAAAUUGGCAGCUCUAUAAGCUCCCUAAUCACAUUUUAUGUUGAUUAAUAUGGAAUACCAUUGUGAGUCCCUCCCGAGUCCCUGAAUAAAGAACUCUGAAUGUUUAUUUUAAAAAUAGUAAAAAUCUUAUAAAAGUGUUUACAUCUGCCCCUCUGUACUGAGUUUCUCUCACAGGCAAAGGGCUUCGUCUAUUCAGGCAGUAAACUUUUCUGGACAUUUGAACUGUGCCCAUGCAGAAUGCAGAGGAAGUAGUGCUAGAGGACACACUUCCAAAAAGAUUUCUUAGCAACCACUUACACUAAACUCCAUGAAGUAGCUCCAAAAGUAGACAAUGCAUUAAAUGUGUGACUGUACCUAAGAUGCCUAGUUUUUUUAAUAUUAAAAGCAGCCACAGGAAGGCCUGGUCAGGAAGAUUUGGAGUUUUAACUAUUGGUGCUGAUAGCAGCUUCUCUCGCAGAACAAAUAGCUUUGGGGAUUUUUUUUUGGUCAAGAUUGGUGAUGGUGUUAGGUUUAAAAACUCCACUCCUUGCAUGCUGAGUGGCCCCUCCUCCUCAAAAGUUGUUCUUUUAUUUUAAAUAACUAGACACGUGGAAUGCAAUUGGAUAUUUAAUAUGCUUUCUAGUUUGGCCCAAUGUUGAAGCAAUGUCUUAAAGAAACUGGAAUCAACUCACAGUAAAAGACGCUGUGUUCUUAAAACUUUCUGUUCCCUCAACAAACAAACCAUUGGGAGAUGGAGACAAAUCCACAAGAGAACAAGUGUUCUCAUGAAUUUCUUACUGCAUCCCCAUGGCAGCAAGCAUUCAGUGACUUUGAGACAGGAGUCAAGUCUAUCCAGCAGCAUCUCACACCAUCUGCUAUGAUACUGCUGGUUCUGCUUCAUUUACGUUGUCUCCUCUGCCUUCCAUCUGAGUCCUGAUUUUUUCUAUUUGACUCUUUCUGCUUGAGUUCAUGUUUUAGAAACUGUAACGGUAACGGUUCCUAGGAUCACUUUUUCUGUUUCCUCACACACUUGUUAUGGCUUUAAUUAAAAUUUGAUUUUAGAAUUUAGCCUCUCACAAACACACAGAUCCCCUAACCACGACAGCUUCUUUUCUUUGCCAUCUCCUUUUGUUAUGGUCAGCAAAGAGUGAUUCCAUUUAUCAGAACAAGAAAAGCAUCAGCAAUGGGAGAAAGAUGAAAGUUGCAAAAUAGCCCACAGACAAACUAAUGAAGAUGUGAUGAUAGAUGCGUAUAGCAAGUGCAAAUCACAUGAAAUAAUAGCAAUUCUCUGAUGGAGAAAAUAAUAAUUUCAUAAAACUAUCAUUUUGAUUAUUCCAUUUUCUUUUGAGCCUAUGGCCUAGCUAAAUUGAAAAGGCCUGUAUCUGCCUACCUUUUACAGCACGGAAACUAAGUGUUUUCAGGUACAGUGCUUUAUGUAGUGAAUGUCCAUUCUGGAACACUGAAAAGAUAAAACUGUUAGACUCUAUGGUGGCCAUUCUAUGCAUGAAAAGAGCAUCGGCUAAGCAUGGCAAUUGUGAUUAAUUUUGAAUUGUUUUGUAGCUUGAUAAGAGGAUAUUGGGAGACAUUUAGUGAAUAGGAAAAUUAGUCAAAGUUCUAAAAGAAAGACACUGAAAAAUUAUUAUAUGUAAUCACAUGAUAUUAUGAUGAGGGCUGAUCUGGAGAGUUAAAUGAUUUUGAUUGGUUUAGGAUUGUAAUAUUUGGUUGCAACUGUUAAGAUUGCUGUGAUUCUUGUGAAAUCAAAUCACAUAUGUAAUCUGGAAGUGUUGAAGGAACAUUGCUUUGGGUGUGGUUCUUUGCAAUCUUAUUAUUGAGGCUAUAUUUCAAUAAAGGCCUGUCUUUCCCCUUUGAGCCUGUGUUCUUUUCUUUUGGAUUUCUGGGAGGGAUACCUCCAGUCUAGGAACCCCUUUUAAGUUUCUUCAGCAUCUCAUUACAUUAUAGCAGACGUCGCCAGUGAUCCCUGACUUACAUGAUGUUGGACUACAACUCAUAUCAGCCCCAACUGGCAUGGUCAACACUCAUGGACAAUGGGAGUUGUAAUCUAAGAACAUCUGGAAGUCACUACAUUGGUUCGCACUGCGUUACAGAUAGUCCUUGGACUGGAUGCCAUGAACCUUAGAGGAGCUGUUGGAGACAGGCAUGGUCAGACUAUCAUAUUCCAGUUUAAUGAGGAAUAUUUAGUUACCAGUUUUGGAACAAGCCAGGAUCUUAAACCAGCUUCAACUGUGGUUUAAGAUCCUGGUUUGUUCCAAAGCUGGCACCCAUAUUUUCCCAGUUUGUAUGAUACGGGAAACUUCCUGGAUUAUUGACGCAUUCUAUAAAGUGAGAAGGGAAAAAGGCUUUGUAUGCAGGUGAAAUGCUUGCUUGUGCAUUGGUUUAUUAAACUAAGAUAGAGUAGCUGGAAAGCAGCCAUAGUCUAGCAUCCAAAGAGCUAUUUUAGAGUACCUCAUGUUCAGUGGAAUUUGAUGAGCAGACACUCCCAUGCUAUAUUACAAACUGCUUUUUGGAACUCCUCUAGAUUUGCAUGCUGCUGUUAAGGAAACAAAAGUCCAGAGUACUCUUGGGAAUUUGUAUGUACUUAAUCUGCUUUGGAUCUUGAACAUAGACUGUAAUCCAAAACAUAGGCAUAAAUUUUACUGCAUAUGAAAAAAAAGAUGCUUCAAAGCAGACUGAUAAUCUAUCUUGAUUAUGAUGAUGUCAAGAGUUCUAAUUCUCCUUCAAGAUCCAGCUUUAGGGUUUUUAUUAUGUGCAUAAUUAUUUAUUUCUAAGGACCCUCAAAUGGAACAGAGAAUCUUAUUAAUUGUCAAGAUAAUCUAUAUAAAAUUUCCUUUUGUUGCUUCUGUUAUAUUAGCUAAUCAUUAAGCCAUUUGUGGGAGCAUUAAAAAGGGAACAUAAACAUUAUUCUUAUUUCUCCUCUUAAGUGCCACAUUUACAUGUUUUUGGGUUUUCACUUUGUUUCUGCUAAACUGGCAACUACCGUAAUGUAUGUUAAGCCCAUGGUCCACCUAUGCUUGAUAGAAAUCAUUAGCUUUCAAUUAGAUAUGCACAUAAUUAUAUGUUCCAACUUAUGGACCUGUACGUUCGCAUGCAUUUAUGGUAUAAUUAGCACUUCUGGCAAAUUUGUAGAAAGAGAGAGCAUUUGACGCUCUGGCACUGUUUUCCCUUAGGGAAAGAUUCUUUAAGAAAUACCAGCAUAUUUUAUCCAUUCUUUUGGUGGUUUCUAAUGUUUCCAGUUAGGGGUACUGAACAACCAAUGUGCUAGGUACUGCAAAGUAAAAAAUAAAUAAAUACACAGUUGUCAAAAUUACACAGUUGUCUACAUAGAACUGGAGUAGAGGACACAGAUUGACAGCCAUUUAGGGCCUCCUGUCAACCAGGAGUUAACCAGAAGUGUUAAGUUGUGGGUAAACAUAUCAGACGACACACCGAUUCUUCAAACAGCUCUUUAUUUGUAAGCUGGAACAGAAUUGAACAGCAAACAGCUUAGCUGGCCUGCUUUUAUAGGCAGCCAGCUGUCAACAUUGUAGCAACAACAACCCAGGGUUUCCCGCCUAAAGUAACUAACGUGGACCUGAGUGAAAACUACAGUGGUACCUCGGGUUACAUACGCUUCAGGUUACAGACACCACUAACCCAGAAAUAGUACCUCGGGUUAAGAACUUUGCUUCAGGAUGAGAACAGAAAUUGUGCAGUGGCGGUGCGGCGGCAGCAGGAGGCCCCAUUAGCUAAAGUGGUGCUUCAGGUUAAGAACAGUUUCAGGUUAAGAACAGACCUCCGGAACGAAUUAGGUACUUAACCCGAGGUACCACUGUAUAUACACGAUACUCCUGGUGGCCAGGGUGAGAACUUCAAUACAUAACAAGAAGGUUAUGGAGAAACAGUAAUUGGGUAGAUUAACGUAGUGGGACUUCAAGAGGACCUGGAAUCUGGUAAAGAGUAUUAGAGAGCACAGGAUAGCAUGAUAGAAGGCCAGAAACAGGAGGGAGGGAGAGACACAGGAGAUUAGCUAUCACGGACCAAAAGCACCAGGAAACGUUGAAGCAGAAUGAGGGACGAUAUAUUUGUACUUACUUUUGUAAUUACCACCAAGUUGUUUCCUCACAAAUGGCUCCCAUGCUUCAGUGAUCAUGUAUAGAUUUUUUAAAAUUAUUUAUUGGGACUCCAGAUCAUGUGUGAGAGCAGUUCUAAGGGAACCUGGUGCUCACAAUGCUGACAACUUGCAGAAUUCUUUAGUGACUUUAGCUACAAAAUCCAUUAAAAAAAAAAAAUCUAGUUAGAUGCACUCUCCAGUACUUCUUAAACUCCCUCAUGGAACUACAAUUCCUAGCACCCUUAACAAAUUACUGUUUCCUAGAUCGGGUGCCGGGGGGGGACGGGACCGACCAUGUGCUUUAAAUAUACAGUGUGUAAGUGGCCACAAUAAACUUGUUUUUGUAGCUAGUGAUGCAAUAACUCCUCCCCCCAAAAUUAGCAAAAUUCCUUUUUUACAAGUUCAAUUUUCAAAUAAUUCUAAAUUAAAACAGCAGAAUAAAUGUCAGCAUUCAGACUUGGGGGGGGGGCUGUCUUCUUUACUUUCAUUUCUAUAGAACUCCAAUCACAAAACUGUCAGAGAUAGCUUAUUAGGUACUUUAAAUAGACACUUGAUGAAUAGCCCACACCCCACAUCGUAAUUACAGGCUAUAUUAAGAAGACAAGGAAUUUAAAUUGGUAUAGCUAAGACUACACACUACAAAAUGCCAAAUCAAAUAAGUCUUUAUUUUGUAUGUCUGUCCUGCCUUCUCAGCCUUGCUUCCUCUAUUUUCUGUAUGGAAAGAAGAGGCAAACUGUGGCCUAGAUUCAACUAACAGCAUACUAGUGGAAGCCAGCACCAGAGCUCCUGCUAGAACAGAAGGGCUUCCCCCGCCCAGCUCCCCAAAUCUGCUCUGGAGGGUUAAGAGAAAAGCAGAAAUGCUUGUGCUGACGGAACAAUAAGAAGAGUGUGACGUUGAAUUCCUCCCUAUGUUUAAAAUCAGAAAUCUUCUAUCUUCCCUUUAUCUUAUGAAAACAGCUUGUUUUAUCCUCCCCAAGUUCAACGAAAGAUACAGCCACACUUGGGGACACCAGGGACUGGAUAUUCUGUUUUGGCACCUCCAGUCCUGUAAUCCACACAGUGGUCACUGUUAAACACAGGGUCAGGCACUUGGCAUUAUGGACAUCUUCUGAGAUAGAAAUAUGCAUGCACAAAAUGCUUCUGUGCGCGCACACACAACAGACUGCUGCUUUAAUCACUGCAGUCAUCUCCAUAGUUCAGGCAUUAGAAAAGUGGAAUUAAAUUAAACUGAUAGUGAAGUGGCUGGUAGGUAGCCUGCAUAUAGAACCAUAGGUGACAGGUCUUCUAAAAAUCCAUUGAAAUCCAUUUAUUUCAAAAUGGCAAUACGGCACAUGCUUAAAAUGUGAUAACUGGUCCUUUGCUCUUCCUUUUUUUAAUGAAAGCUGUCAUUUGAAGAAUUCUGGAUUCUUCACUCUAACACUAAAUUCCCAUGUUGCAUGGUGUGGUCCUCAAAUUACAGGCUAAACAUAGCCCUGACUACUAUGUAUAUAAAGUCCUAAGCACUGUAUAGAAGACAGAAGUGGCAUAAGGUAACUCCUCAUUAAUAUUCUAAGCUUUGGUUAAGAUACUCAGGUACAGAGUACAUCAACUAUUAAAAGCACAUCAUGUGUCUUUAACAUCACUUUUCUCUACUUUUACAAGAUGACCAGGAAAGUUUCCAGUUUCAGCAGUAAACUGAAGGCAGGCUUUAUGUUGUGGUUGUAGUUACAAUUGUAGAGAAAAGAAGUCUGAGCUAAAUCUCAGACUUGCUACUUGUGUCUUCCAUCGUGUGUAAAGGAUAAGCCGUGUGCUGACUAACUUCACUUCAGGAUCUCCACUGUUCCUGGCUCAUAACCAGCGCAUGGCUCAUGCUAACGAACUGUGAACAGAAUGUGAGUAAAACUCUUACUGUUAUUUUCAAGAAGACUAUGUUGUGUUAUUCUUAUUUUAAGAGGGAAAUAAAGGGGAAAUUUACCAGGAAGGCUCUAGUCUGGACAAGUCAGACUGGAUUGCUUAAUUAAAAGACUCUAGCGAGUCAUCAGCUUGCUUCCAAUAAGUUGCAAAGGGAAUGUGCUCUGCUGUUUGCUCACUAGUGUGAGAGAGGAGGGAUAAUAGCAAAACAAUAUAUCCUCUCCAACCUUCCUAAUCAUUCCCACAGCAGUGAGAUAUUAACUCAGAAACACGGCUUCCUAAGUAGGAGCUAAGGUGAGAGUGUACAAAAGCAGGCAUGAUAGCAAGUUCGUGAGACAAGACCAAGGUCAAACACAGUGAAAUAGUCCAAGCGUAGGCAGGAGUCCAAGAACAAAGUCUUAACAGAUGCACUGGGUCAGUCAGGAUAUAAAAAAAAAACUUGUAAAGUUCCAGCAACUAACAGCAACUGGAAGCUUUUGUAGCCUGAUCACCUAGGUCCAUCCAGGCCCAGCUACAACUGGUCAGCCCAGCCUUCUAGGUUCUCUUCCAGGUAUCUUACUCCCAAGGGGUCCUCAGUCCCUCUGGGUCCUCAGCUACAGUUAGACCUGGCCUCCUGAGGCUGGAGGUAUCUGGGAUAGUGCUGGAGAGCAGGUGUUCCAUAAAGUUUUCAGACUUCAUGACCUCAGGGAUUUCAUCUGAUUAAGAGUCUUAGGCUUAGGGCUGAAUCAGGCAUCACACUCUGACAUAGAACUAGCACUUGCACUUUGUUCACCUUUUCUAGAUAUUUUCUGGAACUAACAAUAAUGUAGUACAGCAUUAUAUAAUCCUGGCAAGGUGCACAUCUGUAUUACAGUCAAAAUUAUAGCUCCUCUUCCUUCAUAACAUGUAGAAGUAUGAAUUAUGACUUCUUUAGCAAUAUCUUUUAUAACUGUUCAGUGAUUUUUCAUUUUGGCACCAGCACUAACAUUCUCUGAAACAAACAUCUGAAUAAUAAACAUCCACCAAAACAUGAUGUAGUCUGUCAUAUUUUAAAAAAUCUGAUUGAAACAGGUGCAGUCAAAUAUUGUCAACACUUCCCACUAUCUUGUUCUUAAGACAACUUCAGUACCCUCUACAUUUGGUAGAUGCAAGUAAAGUCCUAAAAGAAAAGCUGUUCUCUACAUCCAAUUCAAGUCAGUGGUGAAAUUCCCAUUGAUUUGAAUAGAGCUGGAUUACACCCAAUGCUGCUUUAGAACAGUUUGAAUUAAAUUAGCUAUAUUUUUAGCAUUUACAAACAAUGGUGUGUGUGUGUGUGUGUGUGUGUGUGUGUGUGUGUGUGUGUGUUUUAAAAGCCACACAUAUAAAAAGGCAAAAUAAAAUGUAAAUUAUGUGAGAAGACUCAUUCCAAAUACACUUAAACAGAAAUAUUAAAAUCAGUGAGGUUUAGAGCCAAUUCUUCUAACCACUUUCGGGUUGUUUUCAAAUGCAUGGUAAUAUUUUCAUUUCACUGGGGAUUGAAAUGACACCAGCAUUAAUCAAGCUCAUGAUUAUACUCACUACUGAAAACAAUGGCUAUGAUCCAACCCUUUUGUACAUGAAAAGUGAAGGGAGGGUGGGAAGAAGGAACAGGCUGGGAUGGGUUAUUUCUAGUUAUCUAUAUUGUCCCUGUGACAGUGCCUUACAAUAUACCACACCUCAGACACAUUCUGUGAUUCACACCAAUGUGCAGAGCUAAUCCUAGUCCUGGUGUGAAUCACCAGCAAGGGGGAGAAACUGGCUUGUUCUGUGUGCCCACCUACAGAAGGAGGACAGGAGUUACAGAGCAUCAGGCAUUGUUAACUGCAAGCUGGUCUAUUUAUCACAGGGAUCAACAAUCCUGUAGUGAGUUUCCUGCACACCCUUGGCUGUAUCAUUUAGUAUAGCUGACUCACAUGAGCUAGGAUCUUCGUGUUUCCCAUUCCAAAUCCAUAGCAGAGUGAGAAAGAUCAUUGCAUGAUAACCACAAUUCACACAGUAAAUUGUACAGUUUGAGUUGCUAAUCUUGGUAGUGGAUGGUAACUCUAGAAUGGCUCUGAACUUUCCCCUUUACUCUCCUUUAUUUGUCCUUCACUUGCUGGGUUCAGGUGAGGAUUCUGCAUACUCUGAAUGACUGAAUUGACCUCCACACAUUCAGCAGAACUGCUAUAAAGAGCCCAUGCACAAAUAACUUGCACUGCUCAGUGGUCAGGGACAGACACAGCUGAUGAGAUCCUGAUUCUUUCUCCACACAUUUAGGGUCUGUGGAAUCAUAGUAUGAACAGAACUUUCCUGUCAUCUGCUUGUCUCUGCAUCAUGCUCUCAGUGAGCCCGGAUUCAAUUGUAACACCAUUCUUUUUCAAGCAUUUGUGGUGGCACAAUAAGGAGCUGGAUAGAAGGCGAUGCAUUGAGCUGACUGGGUAUAUAUAGAGGGACUGGAACCAGUGGGUGGAAAUUUCAGGGAAACAAAUUUCAGUUAAACAUUAGAAGACACUUCUGAAUGGUUACCAGCUAUUCAUUGUUACCACUACUUCCUCCUUCCUUCUUUGGAUAUCUUUUAAACAGAGGCUUAAUGGCGAGCUUGCAGGGAUAGUGUUGCAUCCUGCAUUAUAGAACCUAUAUUGAGAAAGGGGCUGGAGUAGAUGACCUCUUAAGAUUCCUUCAACCUCUUAUUCUGUUUGCAUUCAAGUAUUAGGGACAAAUGCAUAUACUCCAUUUGAUGAAUAUUGCAGCAGCCUCUGUCAUCUCAAUUGCAGAUGUCAGAAAAUCGCAUGUUUAUAAUAUCCCACUUCUGAGGAAAAUACAGUGUUGGCUGUUUGAAAAUGUUUACACUGAAGUUAUAUUAACUGUGAAAUCAAAAGACAGGCUUAGGGAUUUGUGUGUGUGUAUUUAAAACUACUCUUAAAGGCAUCCUUUUUGGGAAAUAAAUGAGAUGGACAAUUGGAUUGGGGGAAAGUAAGGCACAGUGAAGAAAUAAAUAGCAUGCAUCGUUAAAGCCAAGACCAUAAAAUCAAAAUGCAUAGAAUUUUUUUUAAUGGUCCUGUGUGAAGGGAAAUCAUGCUUUAUAUCUGAAAAAUACUUAGACUGCAAUGUUAGCUGCAUACAAACAGCUUUUAGUAGGCUAGGCCCACUAAUGAAAUUCUGGCUUUGGAUGAUGAGCCUCAGAUGGAUGAAGCACACUUCUUACAUCUCCUGCAUAGUGAAUUACAUACCUUGGGUUCCCCUUCCCCAGCUUGCAUCUUCUACAGAAGCAAGCCCAUAUUUAUAUUCUAAAAUUACUUCCACACCUACACAUCCCAUUCUACCUAGGAUCAUACCUGCAUCCAUGUGAAACUGCAUUCUCUAACAAGUACUGUGCGUGAUUUCCAAGUCUGGUUCUGCUGCUAGACCUGUACAUAUUUAAUGUUGAAAAAAGAUGUAGUUUCGCUCAGUUGACCAGAGAUGGGAGAAGAGAGCUAGAUUUAGAGGUGUCUCCCACACUCCCCAUCAAAUUGCUGAUCAGUAUAAUUUAUAGCUUAUUUACUACUACUAAUAAUAAUAAUAAUUAAUAAUAUAUAUCUCAAACAUAAUAAAGCAGUGGUUUUCUGAAUUCCUUGAAUAGUAACAAUACAAUCCUUGUAACAUUUAGUUAACAGCAGAGAUGAGGCAUGAUGUCACUGAGCUGCAAAGCAGAGGGAGAGAAAGGAGGGGCAUUCCAUUGGCUCUGCUAAGAGGCCAGUUGCUUUAGGUUCUUUCUCAGCUGUUACCUAGUAGAUGCCAUUCCCUCAAGCAUGCUUCAGUAGAUGGAGAGUUAUGAAACAAGGCCAUUCCACUGAAUGGCUCUGCUGAGACCAGUUCCCUUUGCCUCUUUAUUUACCUGAACAGUUCACGUUGCACCUGGUCUCAUUAGAUCUUUAAAAAGUUAUGCCUGAGUUUGCUUUUGGUUUUCAUCCUCCUUCUCCAUCCCCCUUUUUUGUGCCUUAUAGCUAUGGGGACAGGCACAGUUUUAUUUAUGUGUAAGCCAGUCUCUGAACUUUUUUGGCUGAAAGGUGGGGUAAAAAUGCUUUAAUUUAUUUAAAGAAAAUCCAAACGUGUUUCCCUGUCCCUGCUUUACUUCAUUGGUUAUUGCGUAGAAGGACCAGAGAAUUGCUAGGCAUGACAGCUUUGUAACACAUGUCUAUUUAACAAAGCAUUGCAGGGAGAUGAAGGGAGGAGAUCUAGUUUUUCAAUAGCCACUCAUUCCCACUGAGAACUAUUUUUAGCUGGAACCAAAUCUGCGUUACUAUGCACCAUGUAAAAGAUAAAAGUGGCACCACCAUGCUAAGAUAGCUCACAAAUUUGUCUCUUUAGGGGUAAGUGGGGGUCAGGUCUAAUGAAUAUUGAUCAUGCUGCAAUAAACUGAAAUAUACCAUGUCAUGAAACAACUUAGGAGGUAUUCCCCUGAGGUCAAUUUAACAUUUUACAGCUGUCUUUUUUAAGACCGCCUUAAAUUCUGUGGCAUUACUCUCCUAAUACACACCCCUAUUCUCUCUCUCUCAGGUGGAAAAAUUAAUUCUACAAUUGAUUAGCUAAAUUAAUGAAUAUGAGAAGCACAGCAAAGCAAUGGCCUAAUUCUUACUAAGCUGGAUCUUUCUCUGGCCUAUUCAGACUUCAUGUGGAGAUUUACAUAAUAGAAUCCUCCCUCAUAAAAACAAUUUUUAAAGUCUAGCAUACUUUGAUAGUACAUGUAUGCUGGCAGGAGGAUAAUGGGAUCCUGACUACACUUCCAGCAACAUUGCACCAUAAUUUAAUAUAGCUCUGAAUACCAGCAGCUGUGGAACUCUCCAGUAGGGGGAGUGCUGUUGUGCGCAUGUCCAAUAUAGAUAAGCAUUAGAUCUGAUUCAACAUAUGAUUCGUAUGUUUUAUGCACCAGGGUAGUGCUAUUUUUUGCACAAAAGAUCAUUCAGUGUGGUGAUAUCCCAUCUGAAAUAGUACAAUUGGGAUACAGGCUUGCCACCUCAGUGAGAACAAGGCCAUUAUAUCUGCCUUACUUUAGCUGAGAAAUCCAUAUUUUCACAUUUUACUUUAAACAGCUUUAAUAAGAAAAAAGUGUAUUGAGCAACAUUAUUUCUGAAGUCUAAACAAAAGGGGGAAAAUCCCUGAAUGACCAGAACACGAAGAGUCAAAGCUAGGGUUACUAACUGUUCCUGUAUCUUUUAGAACUAUUUUAUCUACAUAUAUUAACAUAUUAUAAUGAUUAACAUCAUGCUGUAAAAAGCUUCACCUACUUAUUUCUGUGAAAACAGCUGCUGUUAAAGGUAUAGGAGCAACACAGAUUGUGUUUUUUAGUGAGUUUUCUAAUUGUGGCAGAAUUUUACUAUUCCAGUUCCUUUAUUGUUUAGUGCUGUACAACGAACACUUAAUUCACUGCUGCAAAAGCAAUAUCCUGUUUACUUUAGGCAAAUGAAUCUAUGUUGAUUUCUUAAAACAGAUAACACGAUUAGAAAUCUGAAAAUAAAUGGUUUCAGUUUAUGAAUUUUCUAAUAUAUAUUACAAGCAAAUACAGUGGCCUGUUUUUAUUACAAGAGUGUUUUCUUGGGAUUUUAUUUAAAUAUAGCUUGUUAGCUCUUGCUCAGAUGUAUGGACUUAAACCUUCACACUGCUACCAUGACUCAUUUUAUGAGUGGGCUGGUAGCACGCAGGGGCCCUGAAGCAGCAGCAUCUAUACAUCAAUUUCAGGCUUUUUUCUUGUUCUAGACAGAGCUCUCAAAUCAGUUCCCUUAGGAAAAUUAAGAAAGGAUUUCAUCAGUGCAAUAGAUAGAAGCCAUUUGCAAAAAGUUCAGAGUCUUUCCUACAAGCUGGCAUUAUUUAAAUUCAACAUCCUCCUGCAUAUCCCUCAGAACAAAAAAGUUUAAAUCUGUGAAAAUGCAAUAACAGGAUUUGGAAAGACUGAAUAAGUAAUGCACAAAUGAAACUCAUAAUAAGGAGCAUAAAUCUGGAUGCAUUUGCAGGAUAAAGUCUGGCAACAGGUCCAGGCAGAAAGAAGCACAGUAUAAAAGACAGAGGAUGAAACCAGAAACAGUGUUAUGACAGCAUGAGACUCUUGGUCUUAGGAUCAUAGGUUUGAGCCCCAUGUUGGGCAAAAGAUUCCUGCAUUGCAAGGGUUGGUCUAGAUGACCCUUGUGGUGCCUUCCAACUCUACAAUUCUAUGAUAGCUCAAGCUGUUGAGUAAAAGGAAUUGAAGUGUAAGCAUGAUGAACUCAAGCUUGAGCGUCUGCACCACAAGAGUGAAUUGAAAAUUCCAUGUCAAAUAAAAUACUUUAAGCAGAAGGAUUACCCACAGGAUAAAAUGGGAGCCCAGGAUGAUACGACAUGAGCACUUCCAUUUUAGGAAAGGAUGCAUGUAGAGAUCCAAGCUCUGCCUAGAGAAUAAGGUAAAGAUAAGAUUGUAAAGGCUUUGACAACGUGACAUCUAAUAAUUUGGAAGAAGGUGGCAAGUUCCUGACACAUUUGGUUUUCUUCUCCAGAACAGCCUUGAAGCAGAUAUUGUUCUAAAGUGAUGAAACCACUCUACUAAUCUCAAAGAACAGCAGAAUAUUCAUUCAACUAGUACAGAAGAUGAAAUGCUACAUAGAAGCUUCUGUAUAAGGUUUGUUUUUUAAAAUUUAAAAAUACUAAAUGUAAAAUAUGCUUUUCAGAACUGAGACUUCCUCUAAUCUCUUUAUAGCUGAAAACAAGUAUUUUUUGAUAGACUUUUUUUGAGUCCUAUCUUUUAGUUAAGAGUGCCCUCUGGUGAAGAGAUGAAAAGUCAGGGAAAGAUAAUCUUAAAAUAAAUUAGCAAAGAAUGGUUCAGCAAAAUCUAGAUUUUUUGUUGUUGUUGCAUUCAUGUGUGAAAGUAUUUUAGGCAACCCCCCCCAUGAAGUCCCUAAACAGCCUAUAUUAUGGUCUGUUUUACAGAUGCUCUUGCCUCAUGCCUAUAGCUUGGCAUGCAUUUGAGGUGGGUGCCAAAAAGCAAUAAGUGAGCAAAUCCAUUAGGUUUGUACAUAGUACCAAAUCAUAGUUAGAACAAGUUAUGUGAGCAAAACCAGGGUUUCAUAUCAUGUUUUGCUGCUGGAAAACAAAUUAUGGUUAGAUAACUGGAACUGGUUCGGUCAUUCACAUAUUCAUUUGCUGUAAGAGCACUAGUACCUUUCUUUUCUUGUCCCACAACAAAAAUCAAGCACCCUAUCCACCCAGGAUAUAUGGAAUUUAGCUCCAAAUCUGUGCAUUUGCCAGAAUAGGCAUUGCCAGUCUCACUCAUGCUUACUUUACACAAAAAAUGACACCUAAGAUUCCACAGUCCUAAUUGCAGUGUAAGACUCCAGCCAGUGUCAGUUGCAGUUCUCAGUGGAGCUUCUUGCAUCCCAAAGAUGCAUGUACUCUCAAGAGUGCAACAACGAAAGAACAGCCCUAACCCUCAAAUGUCUGUAUACAGUGCUCUAUUUUCUUUAUUAUUCUAAGGGUACAUCAACUUGGGGUUUGCCAUCACCUAACAGCAGCUUGAGGAAUGAGUAUGCUGUGAGUUAUUGCAGCCCUACUGAAACUCCUGCCUACCAUUUCUUCAUUGCAAAAUGUUAACACAUAUUAGUUGGUGCUUUAGUGUCCAGUAAUUUACUGGGGCACUAAAUCAGUAGUCAUCUUAUCAAUAGUCAAAGGCCCAUCACAUUCCGUUUUUCUACAUUGUGCAACUUUAUAUGACAAUGCCACCACCUGCUGACAGUUAUAUGAGCUGAUUCUUGGAGUGUCCUAUGCUCAUUCCAUGGACCACUAGUAUGAAGCCCUGCUGUGUACCAUGGCUCAGACACAGCAGUUGUUUGUCAAAUGUUUUUAACAAGCAUUUAUAUUUGCUGGCACACAGCCAGUAAGUUGCAGCAUUGUGCCCUGAAAGUAUCUCUUCAUUCUCCCCAGGAGAAAGAUUUGCCACUGCAAAAAAGCACUCAAAAUUAAAUAAACGAAGAAACCAUAUAGGAAGGCCAAGUGAAACGCACAGGAAAUGUAGAAACAGAUGUAGUAAAGAUGAAGAGCAAGGACAAAAAAUGGGUUUGGAUUAAAUGUAGAAGGCUGAAACAGAAUAAUUGAAACAGAAAAAGAACAGAUAUUAGUGAAAUUAUGACCCCCAGUCUUUAAAAAAAAAUGUACCUCAGUGACUCAACACGACAUCAGUUUUGUAAGGUUUCUGUGUCACUUUCAGUACCACUAUAAUCAGAAUAAUCACAUUCAUCAUCUGAAUCAUCAGCAGUGGGAAAUGUGUGAAAUAUUACUCUCUCCUGUCCAGGAGCACUCUCUAGAAAUUUUGUGAGAAUCACCUGACCAGAUUCAGACAAAAUUACUCUGUAGAGACCCUUUUCAUAACCCACAAAAAUGCCUCUAGCAUUCUUCACCCCAUCUGGAGUUUCAGUCCUGAUUUGAGACCCAAAAACCUUAAAAUGCGCUACAGAAGGUUUUCUUUGGAAUAGCCUCUCAAAAGGAGAACAUUCCAUACCUUUUGAAACCUUUCUCACCCAAGAGUAACAAAAACAUGAUAAAGAUUCAGCCCAAAACUCAUGUGGCAAGUAUGAACUCAGCAGUUGUGCCUGCAUGCCAUUCUGCAACUCUCUGUUCACUUUUACACAGACAGUUUUGUUCCAUGCAGCCUCUGAAACAGCAACCUUGUGCUCUAUCCCUUGCUUCUCAAGAAAAUCCUGAAAAUCCUGUGAAAGAAAAAUUGGCUUCUCAUCUGUGAAAAGAAAAUCAAUGUUAGCAUCAUGAAUAUUCUUAUCCUUAUCACAAAACUCCUUAAACCUUUCUAAGGUUUCUCUGGGAUUCUGCAAAAUGUAAAUCCAUACAUAUUGAGAAAAAUGAUCUACAAAUACAAGAUAGUACUUUGCAUUGCCUCUAGAUGGUGCUAAAGGACCAAUCACAUCAGCAUACACUCGCUGAAAAACUUUGUUAACUUUGUUAAUCUUUCCUCUCGUGUCUUCUUUCGAGAUACCUGCAAGAGAAAGCAUUUUAGAUUCACAUGCUGUACACAUUUUAUAAUCACUUUCAUCAAAUGUUAACAGAUACAGUCCGUCUUUCUCUCUGGCAGAAAGAUACAGCUCUCCAUCUUUGUAGAUUUUGCAGCUUUCCUCAUCAUAGGACAAUACCAGUUUCUUCUUGGCGAUUUGAGAAACACUCAGCAGAUUGUACUUUAAAUCAGGAACAAAAUAAACAUUGUUUAUAGUCAAGUUCAGGCUUUCUAGAUACACAGUUCUGAUCCCGGUUGCUUCCAUUUCCUGACCAUUGGCCAGUUUCACAGUGAAGUGUUGCUUCUCAAACGUAGAAAACAGUUCUCGGCGUGAUGCCAUGUGUUGCAUGCAUCCUGUGUCUACAAUAAAUGAGUUCUCCACGGAUGAUGUGGCUUUUAGGGACAUCAAAGCCAUAUCUGGUUUUGCCUGGGACUGGGUACGACCUUUGCUUGAAGCCUCAAGCUUUAUAGAGCUCCCUCUAGCUCCUUUCUCCUGAUGUGGUGUCUCCUGACGAACAGCGUUCUGAGCUACAGCUUUCUCCUCUGUAGCAAUAGUAGUGGGGGUGCUUGAUUUCUGAGCUUCACUCCCCCCACCAGAAACAGCCAUUGCAGCAAGAACAGGAUCAUCAACAGCAGCAACAUUCUCUUCACUUCCCUGUUGUGGCUCAAAGCUCCUCCCAGCUUUCGAUGAGCUCUCAAGAAUUUGGCUAGCUUCAUCUUGGCUCUCCCCCUUUGGCACAACCAAUUCUCAGUCCUUGCUUCCCACCCCAGCUUCACAAGCUUUUCGGAGUGAUUCCCAAGCGACCCUUGGUUCUUCUGCACCCUUUAGGACUGGCUCAAGAUAAGUGUCCACAUUUUCUGCCAAAAUUCUUAACACACGCUGUUUCAAUUCACUUUGUGCUUGUACAGCAAAAGGCUGUGGGGUCUGGAGUAAGUGCCAAAGCUGCUCUUCCACCAGCAGAAAUUCCAUUGCAAAAGACCAUUCUAGCCAGUUUUGGCUAUUCAGUUUCUGAGAGAACAGAGCCAUCUUUAAUCCCAAGCUGCAGCUGCAGCUACAAGCUGGAAAAUCCAAAAGUCUAUAUCUUGUUUACUAGCUGCUUUGCACCUGGCAGUCAACCCAGCUGCCUGGAAUUUUCCCUUUCCGAGAAUCUGUAAACAAUAAGCCUUCACUGCAAUCCAACAGCUCUUUGCUUGGAAAGUCCCUUUCCAACAGUUUGUUUACAACAAGCGUCGCUGAAAAACCCAGCCUUGCUUUCGCUUUUGAAGCUUCUUUUCUCUCUUUACUCUUUAAGCUAACCAGCUCAUAAAUUUAGCUCAAAAAGUACUCACGAUUCCGUCUCCAAGCAACGGCAGCUCUUAUCAGCUCUGGAAUGCGAAGCAUUUGGCUGCUCUCCGCUCUGUUUUAUCCAAAACAGGAGCUUUUUUCUCCGUGAACCGAAGACUUUUCAAUUCGCGUUCAGCAUCCAGCCAUAAAUUAGCAUCGCAGAGGAACAUGGAUCGUUGCUUAUCAGCAAAAAAAAAGGCUCCCACCUGGUGCUCAGCCGUCCGCCGGGCAAUCACUUGUUGUGGCAACCAUCUGACUCUGCUACCACUUGUCAGUUUGCAAGCCCCCUCCACAGAGGCUGGCCCCUCUCACUGUCCUCGGAGCUUGCAUACCGGUAACCUCCUAUGGCUGAUAUCCAGGCAGACCAGGGAGAUUUUGAUAGGCGACAUUUUCCCAAGCGUGGGUAAAAUGCACAACCCCCUCCUCCUGCACAACCCCCUCCUCCUGCUUCUUCCCUAGCAGGGAAAAGGAGACAGACAGAAACGUCUAUUUACAUUCUUUUAUUUCUGUCUACAGCACUAGAGAAAAACACGUCCUUUCAGUUCAGUUCUUCUAGCACGUCUUACAAACUUCCUGUACAUGCGCACACGGAAGGUUUCAAAUUACACUCUUCACAGAGACUUUUCCAGCCUGUGAACUUCCUGGGAAAUUCUUCUUUCCCACAGAUAGGCACAUCAUGUGAUGUCAACAAUCUGGCUGUCUGCAGCUGUGAUGUUUCCAUAUACUGACAGUGUUUUUGUCUAUAUACAACUAACAGAAAAUUAAUUUUAUGAAAGAAGGCAGAACUGUGAAAUAAUAAUGGUAGAAAAUAUAGAAAAAUCCAGUUUGAAUUUAAAAUAUUUAAUACAAAAAGUUUGAAUUAAACAGUGGUGGUACAUAGCCUUGAUCCUCUGUCAUGUUCAGAUUCCACAUUGGUAAUCUGCAGAAUUCCUUUUGGCAAUGUUUUGUUCAUCUGUUACACUACCAGAUGGGGGGCAGGGGAUGGCAGGUUGGCAAAUAGCUGAAAAGGUGACAGCAGGGAGGUAGCUUUUUCCUUUUGUCCUUUGAGAAUGAUAGAAACACAAAGGCACACAAUGGAUUAAGAAAAAUAUCAAAACAAAACUGCUUUUAUUCACCUUGCUGCAGGCAAAAUGACGAACAUGAGGAGAGAUUUAGCUAAAAUGAAAAAAGGCAAAAGAUCAACUGGCCCCAUUUAAUCAUUGAAAUACAAAGAUCCUCAGAACUACUCCAGUAAUUCUCAGCAGCCUUACUCUUGUUAUCAGGUGAACCAUGAAUUUCUGGUAGUUCCCUGCAGCAAUAGUGAAUUUAGUACAGAGAUGAUAACGCUGAAAGCUCAUUUCUCAAACAUAUUGCUCCUUGUAUUCCAACGCUAGUAUAUACAAUAUCAAGAAUGCAAAGUACUGUAGUGCUUUGUUUAUAACAAAGUGAAUCCUGUGAUUCCUUCUAACAGAUAAAGUAUCUUUUAUCGCUAGGGCAGAGGAGAAAACAUGGGGAAAGGCCAUCAGUAAUUAUUAAAGGUAGUUUUCAGGCAUAUGGCUGAUUUUCUUUGAGUCUAGCUACACAUUACAUACAAGGUUACCCUAAUUCAGCUCUCCAAAUCAGAGGAAUCUUUUUUGCAUAUUACCGUAUUUUUUGCUCUAUAAGACUCACUUUUUCCCUCCAAAAAAGUAAGGGGAAAUGUGUGUGCGUCUUAUGGAGCGAAUGCAGGCUGCGCAGCUAUCCCAGAAGCCAAAACAGCAAGAGGGAUUGCUGCUUUCACUGCACAGCGAUCCCUCUUGCUGUUCUGGCUUGUGAGAUUCAGAAUAUUUUUUUCCUUGUUUUCCUCCUCCAAAAACUAGGUGCGUCUUGUGGUCUGGUGCGUCUUAUAGAGCGAAAAAUACGGUACCUCUCAAAAGCAGGGGAUCCAAAAAUAGCCCAGUGAGGACUAAGUAUUCUUAGAGGGCACAGAAUGCUGACUGAAGGUGGGGACAGAAAACUAUAGGGUCUCAAACAGAAGCACUCCAGGCUCCUACACUUUGUUGCAGGUUUCUCUUCCACUUUUUAAGUGGAGGGGCUGAAAUGCAUUUUUCCCCAUGGACCACCUUUAAUUUGAUAACUCUCAGCAUCAAAUUAAAGUCAGUUGGUUUAAAUAUUGGCUAGUUUACUCACAAUCCACUGAGAUGAGGAAAAGCUAGUUAAGAGUUGUAACUAAUGUUUGCAAGCAGAGACAGGGAACAGAAGGCGUUUGUGCAAGGAAAGUGCUUGUUUUUAACACAGAGGCAGAGUGAAAACCCAUACGGUAUUUGUAUUCUUUGUUUGUGCAACAAGAGGAUUGUAGACACAUACCUUAUAUAGAAAAUCCUGCUCAGAGGGAAACUGUUCCUGAAUUAUAAGUGUGUGAGAAGACAAGACACUGCAGUUUUUCAGUGGUAAAGGUACCCUGCACAUUCUUCGACCCUAGUAUUGAAAAUCAACAGCUGAACUCAGUCAUCUGACCCUAUACCUUUAAAGCACGUUCAAAAUACAGUGGUGCCUCGCAAGACGAAAAGAAUCCGUUCCGCGAGUCUCUUCGUCUUGCGGGUUUUUUCGUCUUGCGAAGCAAGCCCAUUAGCGGAUUAGCGCUACAGUAUUAGCGGGCUUAGCGGAUCAGCUGAUAAGCGGCUUAACGAUCAGCUGAUAAGCGGCUUAACGAUCAGCUGAUAAGCGGCUUAACGAUUAGCUGAUAAGCGGCUUAGCGAUUAGCUGUUAAGCGGCUUAGCCGAUCAGCUGAUAAGCGGUUUAGCGGCUUGGGGAAAAGGGGGGGGGGGAGGAAAAAAACCCCGCAGGAACUCGCAAGACAUUUUCGUCUUGCGAAGCAAGCACAUAGGAAAUUCGUUUUGCGAAGCACCUCCAAAACGGAAAACCCUUUCGUCUAGCGGGUUUUCCGUUUUGCAAGGCAUUCGUCUUGCGGGGCACCACUGUAAAGUUUUCCCUCAAAGAAUUCUGGGCACUGUAGUUUGUUAAUGGUUGUUGAGAACUAUAACCCGGAGUUGGGAGAUGCAUGUACUCGGAGAAAUUUUUGUAUACAUUACCAUAAAUAGGAAAGGGGAAACAGGCAAGGAAAGAGAACCCUCUUGCUCUAUCCACCUACUCCUUGCUGUGUGGAGGGAGCUAUGGGACCUAAGUUCAGACCAUGGUAGGAUGAAUGAGAGUGGGAAAUGCUGGGCCCCAAAUAUUAUUUGGAGCCCCAAAUUCAGUGCCUCAAGCCCACCACAUUACAGUGGUACCUCGGGUUACAUAUGCUUCAGGUUACAGACUCCUCUAACCCAGAAAUAGUACCUCGGGUUAAGAACUUUGCUUCAGGAUGAGAACAGAAAUCGUGCUCCGGCGGUGUGGCGGCAGCAGGAGGCCCCAUUAACUAAAGUGGUGCUUCAGGUUAAGAACAGUUUCAGGUUAAGAACGGACCUCUGGAACGAAUUAAGUACUUAACCCGAGGUACCACUGUACUUGAAAGGAAGAAGGGGAAACAGCAAGUGGCAACUUAAUAGAAUGUAUUACAUUCUUGAGCCAGGACUUACCUAAUAGGAAAGGGGAGGGGAAAGAGGAACAGCUUGGGUAGGUGUGAUUUAAAGUGUUCCUAAGCAACAGAAGAGAAUACAGUGGAUGGAGUUAGACAUAGCGAAGCAUUGUGAAGCUCUCAGACGUGUAUGGCUUCACAAUCCUGGGAUACGUCCAUAGGCCUCAUUUACACACCCUGGCAGUGCUACUGCUGAAUAAAUGUUCUGGGGGAGGGGAGAAAGCAACAACUGCUCUUUAUUCCAUGGUGGUGGUCUCUGAAUGUUUCCUUUUUACUCCCUCUGGGUAAUAAAGGGCUAUGUAUGUAAUAAAGGUUUACUCCCUCUAGGUGUAAUUUUCUAUUCUUUCUCUUUCUUCAGAUCUCUUCAAAACCACACUAUGGCUGCUCCAAAAGAGCAAAAAGGGCUGCGUACCUGGCAUUCCAUAGGGGUUUUACACAAGAAUAAGGAGGGAAAGCUUGUGGCUGGUCUGGGUGUAUGUGUGUGUGUGUGAGAGAGAGAGGGGGGGCGCUGGCUAUAUCCUGGAAGGAAAAAUAAUUGAUUUGUUGUGUGAAUAAAAGCAAAUGUUUGUUUUCUCUUGUUCUAGUUUUCUGAUAAUGGAGGUGACGUAAGUGUUUAAUGUCUAAAGGGAGAAGUGUUGCGUUUUUAAUUCACAUGGGAGCUAUGCUUAAUUCUGCAAGCCCAGGCUCCCAAUUCAGCAUUGGGAAGCUGUGAUUAUUUAGUGAUUAGUAGAAAGCUUAUGACUAAAGCAUUGCUAUUUAAUAUUUCUGCUUAAAAAUACUGUGCUAAGAAUUCAUCAACUAAUCUUAAGCUAGUCACCCAUUACUGUGCCUUGAUGUUUCUUAGUUGUAAAGUUAGGCUGGCAUCUUUGGAACAGAAUAAAUUUGAAGUGGACACGAUUGGCUCUGAAAUGAGCGAAGCCAUUUCCGCAAAAAUCAGGAAUUGGCUCCUUUGUGAACCAAUAGAAAUUUGACAGCUUGAAGCAAGAUAAUUGUUUCCUUCCCGCUUCAUUUAUGCUCAUGUCUGAGUUAGGCUAAGAAAUGGUGACCAGUCCAAGGUCACAUGGUCAGUUUCCUAGCUGAGUAGGAAUUCAGUGCAAAUGCAGUUUCUGUAGUUUCUUUAAGUUCAACUUAACAAAUCAUAAAGUACUUGAGACAAAAUGAGUUACUAUUUGUUUUUCAGUGGCUAGAAAUUGUUAAUACAAUCAGAUGAAAAACACUAGUGCAGACAAGCAUAUUUUGAAUGUGAAGGUCAGUCUUCUCCACAAUGAUAAGGUGCAUUUAUAUUAUAUUAUAGGCUUGAUUAUUGUAACUCACUCUAUGUGGGGCUGCCCUUGAAACUGACCCAGAAACUCCAGCGGGUGCAGAAUGCCUUGGCGAGACUCCUCACGGGUUCCUUGCCGUGGGAGCACAUUCGUCCAGUGCUAUACCAGCUGCACUGGCUCCCAGUGGAGUACAGGAUCAGGUUUAAGGUACUGGUUUUAACCUUUAAAGCCCUAUACAGCCUAGGACCCUCGUACCUACGGGACUGCCUCUCCUGGUAUGCCCCACGGAGGACCUUAAGGUCUGCAAAUAAUAACACCCUGAAGAGCCCAGGCCCCAGGGACAUUAGACUGGCCUUGACCAGAGCCAGGGCCUUUUCGGCCAUGGCCCCAGCCUGGUGGAAUGCUCUAUCACAAGAGACCAGGGCCCUGCGAUAUUUGACAUCUUUCCGCAGGGCCUGCAAGACAGAGCUGUUCCACCAGGCCUUUGGUCAGGGUUCAAUCUGAUUUUUUUCUUUCUGUAUAAGAGGCUUCCUAGCCCGCUCACAGGUCCUUUAUAAGACCAGUGGUAACAGUUGGCCCUGGGGAAUAUUAACCACUCUCAAUUUUACAUGUGGACUGCCACCUGUCCAGAUUUUAAUAUGCUCUGAACUAAUUUUAAGAUGUAUUUUAAUUAAUUGAUUGCCUGUUUUUAUGUUUUUAUGUUCUUUGUAUACUGUGUUAGUUUUAUGAUGUUAACCGCCCUGAGCCCGGCUCCAGCCGGGGUAGAAAUAAUUUCUUUAUUAUUAUUAUUAUUAUUAUUUAAAUUUGAAUCUGUAUGUAGAAAUUGCCAUAUUUAAAUUAGUGUCCUUUUUUGUUCUCUUUUGGCUGAUGUAUAAACAACCAUCCUAAGGGAAAAAGUAAAGUCCCUGACAGCACCUUCAUAGAUGAAAGGAAACUAAUAAUGAGUAAGCUUGAAAUAACCCUCAAUAGUCCACAGCUGGCCAUAAAGUCCAAAUGACAGAAAGAGCAAGCUGUAAACUAAAUUCAACAUUUAUUUAUUCAAAAUGUUCCCGGCUAUCUUCAGUUCUUCAGGCAGCUUGCAAUAUAUUAUUUUUUAAAAAUAUGUAAAGCAAACAUCAGUACAGAAACACAACACAAUUUUAUCAGGUGCAAAAUAGCAGCCUACAUGAUUUGCCACUCUUAACAGUGUUUAAGUGCUUUGGACCUGUCCCCCAGGCCAAAACCAAGUGGCAGCUGACUAGCUUGUCUUUGGUCGCACAUAAUACCACAGUUUUUCAGAAGCAUUUAGUACUUGAAUUAUUUAGUGGGCAGAGGGGAGUUAAUAGGGCCCAUGAUGAAAUUCACAAGCUCCACCCCUUACUUUCAAUUUUAGCCAAAUCAUGCCCCCAUAGCCUUAAAAGGCUUCUAAAAGGUAAGAGGGGCAGGGUCCUUUCAGUGCCAUGGUUAAGCGGCAUUUGGGUUUCUGGUGAAAGCUCAAGUCCCACAUACAUGUUUAAUAAAGGCUUACAAAAAAGCUUGUCUCACUUGAAGAAAUAGCCUCAAAGUGGUUCUGAAAAUGCUUUUUAAAAAUCUUUCUCCUAUUUUGAAACAUUAAAUUUUCCAAUGAUUGGGGUGCCCCCUUGAGUAUUCUAUGUUUAUUACAGCUUCAUGAUAACUGGUGGUGUUUACCUGAAGCUUUGAAAAGUAUGCUAAUAGAACACCAAUAUAAACUAAUAAUAUUGCAGCAUUUUGAAUAAUACAUGAAAAGGGAAUAGUGGGAGGAGUGAUUGAAGUUAAAUAUAUUGUAUACCUAAUGUUGUGUUUAAAAUAAAGAAAACAUUUAUUCUGAAGAAAGUUGUGGGAGAUACAAUUCAAAUUUACAUUUAAUUUGCAUCCCCACAUCUCAAUCUAUUUCAAUCUGGUUUCAGGCCCUGUUUUAGCACUGAAAGCGGCUUCAUUGUUCAGAUUAAUUACCUCUUUUUGAAAAGAGACUGGGGGAAUACAGCCCCCUUGGUUCUCCUUGGUCUCACAGCAGCUUUUGACAGCAUUGACCAUGGUGUCCUUCUGGAACAGUGUUUUUCUACCUUGGGUCCCCAGAUGUUGUUGGACUACAACUCCCAUCAUCCCUGAGCUCUGGCCUUGCAAGAUAGGGAUGAUGGAAGUUGUAGUCCCAAAACAUCUGGGGAUUGAGAAAGGCUGUUGGAACAAUUUAGGGUGAGAGUAGGAGAUACUGUAUUAUGGUUGAAAUUUUAAAAUGUGAUGAUAAGUCAUUGUUUUCAAUGCUUUUAGAUUUAAUAUUCUUAAACAUAGUUAGCUGUUUUUAAUUGCUUUGAAAUGAUUUAGAUGUGUUUUAAAUCUUCUAAUUAAAAAUCUUUAAUCUUCUAAUUGGGGUGUUCCUUCUGGGGUGGUUUGUCUACCUUUGGUCUGCACCCAGAACUCAGCUCUCAAACCCUGGGAAACAGCUUUGACUGGCUGGCUAAACCAGUUGAAGGUAGCCAAUGGGUUUUAAACCUUUGGUGAAGUAGGGACUUUCCCUUCAUGCAAAGACAGGCUCCAGUGGAUUGAGAGGACAAGACCAGUAGUGGGUCCAAUGGACAGGAAGGCAGUUUCUGCAUGUGCUUUAGAGGGAAGUGGGAAGCAGAUGGGGUUUGUCAACCUGGGAAAGUAGGCUGUCUAGGAAAAGGAAAACUCUUCUAAGCCUCCAUUGCCUUGCAGGAUAUCUUUAGGAAAAGAAAAGGCUAAGGAGUAAAUCCUAUACAAAUCUGGAUUGGAGUCCCUAAGAUGGUUGGAUGGCACCUUAUAUGCUGCAGUCCAGCAACUCCUACAGCCAAGUUGGUGCCAAACGUAUUGCUCUGCUUUACUUUGAACCACAUCAGUGAGGCCGAGAGAUGGGUCUUGCUGUCUGGGCAGCCCAGGACCUUCAUACACAGUGCCCAGGCUUGUACACUGUGGAAACAUACUUUGGUGCUGAUAAUGUAGCAGUUUGGCUUUCCCGAUGCACACUCCAUUGUCUCUUGAGACAGACAGAUACCAACAACAAUCUUCUAAUUGUAUUGGUUUAACAUUUUAUUGUUUGUUGCCUGAGGCUUCCUUUGAAAGGAAGGAUGGGACAGAAAAUUAAUUAAUUAAUCUUAAAGUUAAAUCCAAUGAGAUUGCUAACAAAAACCCAUCAUUACUGCACCACCUGCAGCAUCCAGGGUACGUAGACGUCAUACCCAGUUUCUAGCAGUGGAUCCCUGUUGCAAAAUUCUAACUCUUCAUUAAAGGACACACUAGGUAUAUCACAUGUAAAUGAAGAAAGGUGUACCAGGCCAUCUCAUGAUCACCUACCUGGGUGAUCAUUUUAACUCAAUCCCACUCCCAUUGAUAUUCAAUCAAGCACCAGGCCACUCUUGCUUCAGAGUAGACCAGGUGGGUCCUUUGUUCUCAGAACCUGUGAGCCCAGAUCAUCACAGUAUCCUCAUAAGGACUUUUCCUAACUUUCUAUGCUUAGGUUCCUACCCCGUCCCCCGUAACUUACUUCUUCUAGGCUUGCCACGGUGCACUAUUAACAAAGAAAUAACUACAACUUCUAUAUUCACCGCAGCGGCCUUUCCUUUGGUCAUCACUUCCUACUUGGCCUGUAGGAAAUUAUCUGCAGGGUUGAGGUAGAGGGAGCCAUCCAGUAGCAGAUGGGACAGUGAAACUCCACCUCUUUCCUGGCCUUCCUUCAGCUAAGUUGCUGCUGCAUACUAAGGAGGGGCAAGGCAUUGACAAGAUUGACAUGGGGCAAACACGUUGAUACAAGCACCAGAUUGGCUGCAGCACUGUGUUUGCACUACAUUGAUCUCGCCAUCAGCUCUCCCUCUGCAUCCCAGUAUGCAGCAGUGACUCAGCUGGAGAAAGGUCAGGGAAGUAGUGCAGCUCCAUCACCUUAUCCACUAUUGAAGUCAUCCUCUUCUUUGCCUGUUAAGGUCUGACUGUGCUCUUAUGGCAAGCACCAAAUUCUAUGAGGCUUUUCCUGCAGUCUCCUCUUCAUCUACAGCCUGACCUUGCAGUCUGCCCCCCUGCAAGGACAUAUGAAGGUAUAACACCAUUAGUGCUGCCUCCUUCAGGCAUGUUGCAAAUGGGCAAAAAUCUUUUCUCAUUCAAAUUGAAGGCAGGAAGCAUUCAAGUUAGAUUUGGCUUCAAUCAGAUUUUGCUAUACGAUAAUUACGUAUAUGGUUUCAUGUCAGUGUCAUAAAUUCAGAGGUUGGGCAAUGCUUUCUGCCCUCCCUCUGAAUUGCCUUCAUGAAGACAUCACAUAGUCAUGAUUGCCAUAUCUUAAUCACAUUCAUGGCAUGUUCCCAGAUUGGCUGGGAUCACAGUUUUCUGUGAUUUAAAAGAAGACCCUAUUAGAAAAUAGCACCAUAGCAAUUUCCAGUCAAAGUGGUGCACUGGUGCAAAAACCUUUUUUUUCUUCAGAGAAAAUAGCCUCCCGGCUUCCCCCAGCCCUGCUUUUAAUACCAGCCCGGGGGGGGGGGGGCUGAGUAGCCAUUCACAUGAGAUAAAAAAAAAGAGAAAAUAAGUGGCCAACAUUAAUGAUGAUACAACAUUGCUCAAAGUUUGUUGGGGGGUUUUAAGCUUUAUGUGACUUUCAACUUUUUCUUGCCAUUACUAUAUUUAUGGAGAUAUGGCUUUCUAACAUAAGAGCAAGCUUUUAUUGCUGUUAGUAUGACAGCAUUCAUGCUAUGCUUUCAUUCCCCCUUUUCUCAGUCCCAUCCUCCACAUUACUUUUUAUAGCGAUCAAUACCUUGAGUCUGGCAAGGAAUCUCUCAGGGCUUUCAGACUUCUGCUUUUCUCAGUUAAUGGUCAAAGCUCCAUUUCAGUCUAACACAAUGUUCUCCCCCAACAGUCCACUGAGGUAACUAAUGUAAUCCGGAGAUGACAGAUAAUAAACUUUGCAAUGAGAUCUGUUCCAUAGGAAAUAAUAUAAGAAGAAAACACUGUAUUCAAGAAAUCCCAAAUUCUCCUAUGUCUAUAAUUUUCCCUUAUUCAGUAUAUUGCUGAAAUUCACUGCAGUAUAUGACUCGCAUAUUCUAUUAUUUAAAACCUACUACAUCAUUUGUAUAGAACAGUGGGUAACCCUAUAAAUCCCUAACAGCCUGUGACAUAGAAGAGAUAGCGGAAGAAUGAUUGAUAGCAAGAGAGUGGAAAUAAAUUAAUAAAUGGAAUGUUGGGCAGCAUUAACAUGAGGGACAGGUAGAGAGUGUCAUCUGAAGAAUGACAGAGUGGGGAAACUGUGGCUGUGAGAAGCAGAGGGAAGUUAAAAGAAAAUGAAAUGAGAGAGAUAAUGACAGUAUAUGUAGAAGUGUUAGGAUAGCUGUUAUGAAACAUGGGAUAAUCGAUAAUGUUAAAUUAGGAAAUAAGAACACUAAACUCUGCAUACAAUCUUCUUCUGCAUGUCCCUUCUAUAUAUUUUUAUAUUUUAAGCGACUGUUCUGUUCUGGGUGGAUUCUAGGGUCAGUGUGUCACACCGCAGGUGUCUUGUACUCGAGUAACACUAUAAAGGGAAAAUUCAACAGUUCUCUACAAGUCUAUAGAUGUUGACAGCAGGUAAUUUGAAGGACAUCUGGAAUCAGUGGAGUAGGCCCUUUUGAGUAACCCCAGGGAUAUCACAAUAGGUUUCAGAGUGUUGGACUUGGUAGCUGGGAUGCUGCAUACAACCAGGUUUUAUGCCAGCACAACUACUGCAGUGUUCUUCUGUCCCUGGAAAGGCUGGCAAGAAUACGCUUCUCAAAAUCCUUACUGGUGAUUGAAGCUGCACAUGCCAGCUUUCAUAGCUCUGACAAAAUUACAGUGGCUCAUAAGUUGUCGCCUAAAGGGCAGUGCUCAAAUUACUAGGAUAAAGAUAGAGACCUUUAGUCAAAUUGUAAGCCCCUGUAGCCUUCUAUAGUUGUGGCAGCUUAUCACAAAAAGAUAAGAAGGUCCCCUGUAAUUCAAGCCCUGGUUGCUAAAGAGGUAAGUUGCUUAUAAAGAAUUUGAAAAUUGAUCAGAAUUAAAAAGAAUGUUAUCAGUGACUUCAACUUACAAGGUUUCCCCGCAAGGCAAAAGGUCUCAUAUGUCUCAUAUACCACUCGGAAGGGAUAGUACUAUUCUGGGGCUUGCUAUGCAGACCCAGACAGUCAUUAUUGUCAGGUAAAAUGCACUAAUUAGGCUCCUGUGGGAUUUGGAUUCCAGAGUGUUGUGCACUAAAUAGCCACAAAGUACGGCUUAUAUUUCUUCUUUCAUUUUGCAAUACAAUAAGCACCAAAUAAAGUGUGUAAAUAACUCUCCGUGAAAGAUGGGGAGAGUGCAAUGAUAGAAGAGACUGAAAGCCACAGUUUUGUGCACCUGUCUGGGCUAGGUGUGGCCAGCUGUUACUGUCAUCCUUGCGUCUGAUCCAAAUGCAGAAAUAGUCAGUGGCAGGACAACAGCCCUUGUAGAUGAGGCUCUGCAACAGGCCAAACCAGUGUAUGGGAGGUUGAUGUGGUAGAAGGUUUUGUAGUAAUCACAAGCACUUUAAAUUGUGUUUUGAUGCAAACAAGUCAUUGGAACACUUUAAGCUCUGGCAAGAAGUUCUUCCAAUGCCAGGUUCCAGUUAGUUCCCUUGCAGGUUCUGGACAAUCCCAGUGCAGUACAUUGAAGUAGUCUUGCCUGAAGGUUACCAAAACAUGGGUAACUGCUUAGCCAAGAUGUCUAUCCUUCAGCUGUCAAACUUAACUGGUAGCAUUCUCUGACAAUAAGACUACUUGGUUGUCUAGUAACAAAACUGGAUCAAUGAGCUGCAUUCCUCUAAGCACCUUGUACACAUCCUCAGGCCAAAAUAACUGACAUUCUUCUCUCAAUCCACAUUUACAUGAUAGUCUAGACAUAUCUGUAGACAGAAGUGCUGAAUUAGUGGAGUCCAAGUUGAGGCAGAUACCAGUGACCUUUAUCCUCAAAGUUCUUAGCAGAGUGGCCUCUGAGAGUUCCUUAUCAUCAUCCUAUAGGCAAGCUGAAGUAGAUCCAAGACCCUGAGGGUACAAAGCUUGCAGAGCAGUAUUGCUUCUUCACUGCCAUCACCACUACAGAGAAAGCUCAAUAAUAAACUCUUAAUUAUAUUUAGUCAGAUUCACCAGUAAAUGUCUUUCACUUUCAUUAUCCUACCCUGCUUCUAGCUCCCUAGACCUGAAAUGGCAGAAUGGACACAACUGAAGGAGUGCCAGUCUUUUUAUUAGUUCUAAGUACUGUAUGAACUUGUCAGCUAACACCUCAAAGCUUGAAGUGCCAUGGCACUUGUACAUUCUUGGUUGACAACCCUUUUUAUAAGCCUUCCAAGGAAGGAUUGUGGGACAAAGCAUCUAGAAAAAAAUCAACUGUCCUUUCUCUGCAACAAGUUGAAGAAAAGUCUUGUCUCUUUCAUUGAAAGUGUUUAAUGUUUAACAAUUCUAAAUUCUAAAUCUGAAUUUAGAUUAAAAACAUAUCCUAGGAGAUUUUUGUGCAACAAAAGCAUUUUUCAGACACGUGCAAACAUUUACAAAUCUAAAUUGAAAAGGUGUUAACAGAAACACAACAAAAAUAAUUUACUGAGGGGUAAGUAACCAUUAAUCAUGAAGGUAUAAAUAACACAGUUUGAUGUGUGUGCCAUUUCACAUUAGCUGGAAAUGAAUGGUUCAUGUGUGCUUAUGCAUGUAAAAUCUGAUGGUGACUCAGCUGAAAGUCUGUUUGCUUUUGUGUCAAGGUCUGUAUGUGAAGUCAAUUUGAGAAGAAAACCUAACACCAUGAGCUCUGUCUGUAAAAGUUUAAAAGGCAAGAGAACUACAUAAUCAAAGUAGAGAAAAACAGGAAGUCUCAAAACUGGCAGAUUAAGAAUAAUUUGUAGUGCCCUUAAAAACUAAUUUCAGGAGAUUUUACUUAAUCAUAGAUUUAAACAUUUAUAUACCACUUUUCUUCAUAAAAUCAACUCAAAAAGUUGAUAAACACAUUUAAAAUAAAUCAAGAGUAUGAUAAAAUAAUUCAGCAUAAAAACAGGGAGACAAAACUAUAACCGACAGUAAAAGCUCAGUGAAACAGAAAGGUCUAAGCAGCUCACCUGAAGUUUAUUUGUGCAAGAUGUCAGUAUGAGAUGAACCAAACUACCGUAAGUGUAACAGUGACAGUCCUGUGAAUUUAAACACUGAACUGACCCAAUAACUUACAAAUGUUUCAUUUUAACACAGGCUUCCUAAACCUCGGCUCUCCAGAUGUUUUUGGCCUACAACUCCCAUGAACCCUAGCUAGCAGGGCCAGUGGACAGGGAUGAUGGGAAUUGAACUCUCGAAACAUCUGGGGGGCCGAGGUUGAGGAAGCCUGUUUUAACAGAAAAGGGACUGCAUGUACAAAGAGUACUAAAUCCUUACCCCCUCUUCCUCCUCAUAUCGCCUUUAUCCAGCUGCUUUUCUUCCCAGCCAAACUCCAAAGCUAGGUGAACUUAGCUGGGCAAAAACCACUUGGGCGUGGGGUGAGUUCAUCAUUCCUUAUCAGUAUGCUUCUUGUGCUAUUAAAAUCACAUACAAGUCAUUUAGCAGAGUACCUAUGCAUUUUGCCUUGUAACUUUCUUUCUAGAAGAACUAGACUUUAAAAAAAAGAAAAGAAAGAAAUCUCAGAGUCUGAGAUCUCUUCUGGUUGUGGAUGUGGUACAUCUGUACCUCUUGUCCUGCCUCUAAGUGUUCCUGCAUAUACAUGCUGUCUUUCUUGUGAGUGAGGAAUUCUGAAUUUACAUGGAACUACAAUAAUCAUAGGGAUGGGGGUGGCGCUGUGGGUUAAACCACAGAGCCUAGGACUUGUCCAUCAGAAGGUCGGCGGUUUGAAUCCCCGUGACGGGGUGGGCUCCCGUUGCUCAAUCCCUGCUCCUGCCAACCUAGCAGUUCGAAAGCACGUCAAAGUUCAAGUACAUAAAUAGGUACUGCUCCGGCGGGAAGGUAAACGGCAUUUCCAUGCGCUGCUCAGGUUCGCCAGAAGUGGCUUAGUCAUGCUGGCCACAUGACUUGGAAGCUGUAUGCCGGCUCCCUCGGCCAAUAAAGCGAGAUGAGCGCCGCAACCCCAGAGUCGGUCACAACUGGACCUAAUGGUCAGAAUUACCUUUACUUUAUUAUAAUCAUAUCUAGUUUAUUCCUAACAAAAUCUGUUGAUAGUCUUGCGGAUACAGUGGUGGUGACUUUCUUUUCGUUUGAGAAUAACAACUCUCACCCACUUGCUCAUGGUAGGGUGUCACCUGUGGGCCAGAAAACCAUGGAAAAAUCCCUACAGUGUAUAUUGCAGUUCUCAUGCACUUCCCAAAAGAAUCAGCAUGCAGGAGAGAAGCGUACACAGAGCCCAAGUUCUCCACUUGCUCCCUGCGGAAAAAUAUAAUAUGCCUUUUAAGCUAAACAGCAACUCCUUUCAUUAGCAGCAGAAGCAAAAACAGCCAGCCAAGCUUGGAUUGCAUGCACAGGUCUUUCCAUCCCAUACAAUUCUCUCUUUUUGGAUCUUGGCCAGUGUAUUCAGAAUUAGACUAUUCACUUCACAUAGCUAUGGUUCAGAUCAUUACUAUGCGAAUUGGAAAGAGGAGAGAAGAACCUAAAAGAUGUAUCAUUCCAUCAUAAGAGACUUUUUAAAAAAAUUGAGUUUAUAAACAGCAGAAGAAGAGUUAGGGCAGGUUCAUUUACUUCAUAAUUGGCUACUUAUUUGCACAUUGAACAAGUCAAGGUGGUCUACUUGUGUGUAAUGAGGAGAAGGGGACUCACAAAAUACUGUAUUGGAAAUGUCCAUAAUCAGCUCACUGAUAAGGAAGUUUCCAUGAAUUUACUUUUCCCAUGUUAUGAAACUACAUAUGCAGACUUCUGAACCGUUAAAUGCAGAAAUAUGUGGAUGAUUGUAACGUAUGAAUCUGGAAUUAAGGUAAUAAGGGCAGAACAUACCCUUAGCCUUUGGUAAUAGAUAUUUUCAUAAUAUAUUUAUAGUUAAUGGAUAAUUUCAUAAUAUAUCUACUUAAGUGUGUAGCUGCUUCCAGAGCUGGUAUCUACUCUGAAGAACUCCUUAAAAAAUAGUAUGAAAUGGUUCUGGUUUGCUUUCUUACUGUUGUUGUUUAGUCGUUUGGUCGUGUCCGACUCUUCGUGACCCCAUGGACCAGAGCAUGCCAGGCACCUCUGUCCUCCACUGCCUCCCGCAGUUUGGUCAAACUCAUGCUGGUAACCUCGAAAACACUAUCCAACCAUCUCGUCCUCUGUCGCCCCCUUCUCCUUGUGCCCUCCAUCCUUCCCAACAUCAGGGUCUUCUCCAGGGGGUCUUCUCUUCGCAUGAGGUGGCCAAAGUACUGGAGCCUCAGCUUCACGAUUUGUCCUUCCAGUGAGCACCCAGGGCUAAUUUCCUUAAGAAUGGAUGCGUUUGAUCUUCUUGCAGUCCAUGGGACUCUCAAGAGUCUCCUCCAGCACCAUAAUUCAAAAACAUCAAUUCUUCGGCGAUCAGCCUUCUUUAUGGUCCAGCUCUCACUUCCAUACAUCACUACUGGGAAAACCAUAGCUUUAACUAUACGGACCUUUGUUGGCAAGGUGACGUCUCUACUUCUCAAGAUGUAGAGGUUUGCCAUCGCCUUUCUCCCAAGAAGCAGGCGUCUUUUCAUUUCGUGGCUGCUGUCACCAUCUGCAGUGAUCAUGGAGCCCAAGAAAGUAAAAUCUCUCACUGCCUCCAUUUCUUCCCCUUCUAAUUGCCAGGAGGUGAUGGGACCAGUGGCCAUGAUCUUCGUUUUUUUUAUGUUGAGCUUCAGACCAUAUUUUGCGCUCUCCUCUUUCACCCUCAUUAAAAGGUUCUUUAAUUCCUCCUCACUUUCUGCCAUCAAGGUUGUGUCAUCUGCAUAUCUGAGGUUGUUGAUAUUUCUUCCGGCAAUCUUAAUUCCGGCUAGAGAUUCAUCCAGCCCAGCCUUUCGCAUGAUGAAUUCUGCAUAUAAGGUAAAUAAGCAGGGAGACAAAAUACAGCCUUGUCGUACUCCUUUCCCAAUUCUGAACCAAUCAGUUGUUCCAUAUCCAGUUCUAACUGUAGCUUCUUGUCCCACAUAGAGAUUUCUCAGGAGACAGAUGAGGUGAUCAGGCACUCCCAUUUCUUUAAGAACUUGCCAUAGUUUGCUGUGGUCGACACAGUCAAAGGCUUUUGCUUAGUCAAUGAAGCAGAAGUAGAUGUCUUUCUGGAACUCUCUAGCUUUCUCCAUAAUCCAGCUCAUGUUUGCAAUUUGGUCUCUGGUUCCUCUGCCUCUUCUAAAUCCAGCUUGCACUUCUGGGAGUUCUUGGUCCACAUACUGCUUGAGCCUUCCUUGAAGAAUUUUAAGCAUAACCUUGCUAGCGUGUGAAAUGAGUGCAAUUGUGCGGUAGUUGGAGCAUUCUUUGGCACUGCCCUUCUUUGGGAUUGGGAUGUAGACUGAUCUUCUCCAAUCUUCUGGCCACUGCUGAGUUUUCCAAACUUGCUGGCAUAUUGAGUGUAGCACCUUAACAGCAUCAUCUUUUAAAAUUUUAAAUAGUUCAGCUGGAAUACCAUCACUUCCACUGGCCUUGUUAUUUGCAGUGCUUUCUAAGGCCCAUUUGACUUCCCUCUCCAGGAUGUCUGGCUCAAGGUCAGCAACCACACUACCUGGGGUAUACGAGACAUCUAUAUCUUUCUGGUAUAAUUCCUCUGUGUAUUCUUGCCACCUCUUCUUGAUGUCUUCUGCUUCUGUUAUGUCCUUUCCACUUUUGUCCUUUAUUAUGGUAAUCUUUGUACGAAAUGUUCCUUUCAUAUCUCCAAUUUUCUUGAACAGAUCUCUGAUUCUUCCCAUUCUACUGCUUUCCUCUAUUUCUUUGCAUUGCUCGUUUAAGAAGGCCUUCUUGUAUCUCCUUACUAUUUUUUGGAAAUCUGCAUUCAAUUUCCUGUAUCUUUCACUAUUUCCCUCGCAUUUUGCUUGCCUUCUCUCCCCCGCUAUUUGUAAGGCCUCAUUGGACAGCCACUUUGCUUUCUUGCAUUUCCUUUUCAUUGGGAUGGUGUUCGUUGCUGCCUCCUGUAUAAUGUUGCGAGCCUCCAUCCAUAGUUCUUCAGGCACUCUGUCCAGCAAAUCUAAAUCCUUAAACCUGUUCCUCACUUCCACUGUGUAUUCAUAAGGGAUUUGAUUUAAAUUGUAUCUUACCGGCCCAGUGGUUUUUCCUACUUUCUUCAGUUUAAGCUUGAAUUUUGCUAUAAGAAGCUGAUGAUCUGAGCCACAGUCAGCUCCAGGUCUUGUUUUUGCUGACUGUAUAGAGCUUCUCCAUCUUUGGCUGCAGAGAAUAUAAUCAAUCUGAUUUCAAUGCUGCCCAUCUGGUGAUGUCCAUGUGUAGAGUCGUCUCUUGUGUUGUUGGAAAAGUGUGUUUGUGAUGACCAGCUUGUUCUCUUGACAGAACUCUAUUAGCCUUUGCCCUGCUUCGUUUUGAUCUCCAAGGCCAAACUUGCCAGUUGUUCCUUUUAUCUCUUGACUCCCUACUUUAGCAUUCCAAUCCCCUAUAAUGAGAAGAACAUCCUUCUUUGGUGUCACUUCUAUAAGGUGUUGUAAGUCUUCAUAGAAUUGGUCAAUUUCAGUUUCUUCAGCACCAGUAGUUGGUGCAUAAACUUGGAUUACACUUUCUUAUUAGUUCACUGAUUUCUAAUGCUGCUGCUUUGUGGUGAAAGGGCUCAUCUGCACUUCUGCUUUUCCCACAAUGUUGUUUUACCACUGAAUCGAAGCAAAUGUCAAUUGGGUUUUCUCUGAAUUUACAUUUGCUCCAAUUUAGCACCGAAGAGUGGGUUUUCCAUGACAAAGCAGUGGGACAAAGGCGAAACCACUUGGACCCAUGCCUAGAAAUCACGGGACAAGUGGAAAACUGCUUGGACCCAUGCCUUCUAGUCAUGGGACAAGCAGAAGUGUGGGUGAACCCUUAGUCAGGCCUGGUGUUAGCACCAUACUGGGCCAUUUGCUGGUGCCCAUGCACUUCUGCAGAGCCCAGCAGGGUUGGCCCCUUGCCUGGACACCUGCAGUAUCUGCCACUAUUUAGGCUCCCUUGUGGCAGAGUUCCGCCUGGUAAGAUGGAGAGGUUAUACUCAUUAGUCAAAUGGAGACUAGGCAUCAGCCAACCUUACCCUCUCACUUAAUGGGCUUACCCAGCAACAUUGUAAUGGACUGGGAUCUGAACAGUCACCCAGUUCCUGGCCCAUUACAGAGCCACCGGAGAACAAAUUCAUGAGUAACUGCAAGGAAAAGACUGGUGGGUGUGCUUUCUCUCUAAUAGCUGGCCCGUUCUAUCACCGCCGCUGCCAGGUAAGCCUGUGAGCACGAGAAAGAAGCUGACUGCCACCAGCUUGGGUAGCUUUAAAAGAGGGUUGGACAAAUUCAUAGAAGAUAAGGAUAUCAUUGGCUACUAGCCAUGGUGGGUAUGCUCUGCCUCCACAGUUGGAGGCCAUAAUGCUUCUGAAUAACAGUUGCUGGAAGUCACAGGAGAGGAGAAUGCCCUUGUGCUUGGGUCCUGUUUUCAGGUUUUGCAUAGUUCGGCCACUACGAGAACAGGGUGCUGAACUAUGUGGGCCACUGUCUUGAUCCAGCAAGUUUUUCUUACGUUCUUACAUCUUUAGUUGCAGGAACACCACUUCCAUGGGUCCAGCUACAAGUGAGUGCUUCAACAAAUGUAGAUUGUUGAAAAUCUGGAGCCAGACCUGUUUGUUUUAAAGUUGUUUUAUUCAGAAGUUACGAUUAUUAAGAUGUCUGUUAGCUGAUUUGAGGGUCUAGUACUGAAACUCUGAGCAUCCCAAUUUCACAAUGCUCUCUCACUUUAUUUGUAUGGUGCCUGCUUUUCAGCUUUCCCAACUCCAUGGAAUAACUUUUUUAUUAUUUACUCAGACACAUUCUACCUUCUCGUAAAAUUUAGUUGUUUUUUUUAUUUCAUCUGUUUAAAUAUUAUUUGUAUGAUAUUGACAUACAAAUUAUUGUAUACCACCCUGGAAUCCUAAAUAGGAAUAAAGAUUUAAAUAAAUAAAUGCUUUAAAUUAAUAAAUAGAAACAUUUCAAUAAAUGAAUAAAUUGACACACUUUAAUGAGUGUGAUUGGCAAGCACAUGGCAUCCCCUGUGCCAAGCAAAGUUCUUUUCCUUGAAACUGAGAAUGAAGUGCUUCUAAAAUGAGAUGCUAUCAUAAGACGUAAGCAGAAAGCUAAAAGGCCAGGUUCUGCAUGAAGUAAAUGAAUUAUGUCUCUGCAUGACUGAAGCCAUCCUCACAAAUUGAUACUAAUUGGGAACCUUGUUGACAUUGUGGGUGCUAAGACCAUGGAUGAUAUCAGCCCAGAGUAGCUUCCCACACUUGAAUCAGAUCCUGCUGUGCCAAAAAUCAGGUAGUAUGCCUGGCACAACAAAAGGGCCAGGCUUUUAUAUAUUGAGUCAUGUUGCGUGACUUGAUAUAUAUAUUUAUUUUUCCCCUGUGGAUCCAGAAAUGUUUAUUUAAAACAUUUGCUGUCCCACUGUAAUAAAACAGUUUUAAAAUCAAGAAAUGAAGCACUUUUUGAGAAACAAUGAGGAGCUGCUGCAAAGAAAACUCACCUCGAAUCACUACCUGGCUCUGGUGCAGGGAAAUAUACAGAAAUGUUUUCCUUUCCUUACUGUCUGCCCUGAUGUGAACAUGAAGGAAGAUAGUGAAAUGGAUUUUGGCAAACACUCUGCUAUUAAACUGAAAGUCAAGGCUAAAAGCAGAGUAAAAGCUUAUUUAGCUGCAGGAUGUUCCUUUGUCAUCAGGAGUCCUGAUUCAACUAUCUCUUAAAUGAUGCAUGCGGUGGGCUGUAAGUAAAGGAUGACAACAGUUCUUUUCUUCCAUCCAUAAACCAGUGACUAACACAGCCCUGCUUUUUGCCUUAAUGAGUCAUGAGGGGCACACAAUGGUGAUCAUGAAUCUUUUGCAAUCAGGACUUGCUUUCAGUAUAUGUUAAUUUUUGCAGGCCAUAAUCAAGAUAUUGUAGGUUGAAGGACAGUGUGGAAAAUGAGUCCUUUUUGAUUGGCUUUUAUAUUCAGAAAUACAGGGAUAAUGAUUGAUGGACUCAUUUCCUGUUUCCCGGGGGGGGGGGAGAAAAAGGGGAGAAGAAGAGGGGAAGGGGGGGAAACAGGCUCAGAGAGAGGCGAGGACAUGAAAGUGCAGCAGCCCUCAAAUAGACUUCUGUGGGAGUUUUGGAGCUUAGUAACUGAUGGAAGCAUUUGUCAUUGAGAAAGAAAACAGCAGAUAAUAGAUGGACACAAGAUGCCAGGGGUGACAGACGAUGACAGGGAGAGGAUCCUGAUGAGCAACAAUAGGUCUAGCAGAGAUGGCAGAUGAAGACAGAAAGUUAAAAAAUUGAGUUGGGUAAUAUUUAUUUUCAGAUACCCACUUCAGACAGUAACAUUAAAGAAAUAGUUUUGUAACAGGUUCAGCAACCUUCAACUAAUCAGAAGGAGUCCCAUGUUGUUCAAAGAGAUUUACUUCCAAGUAAGUGUAUACGGUAUCUGAUUUCAUUUUAAAAUCAUCAGAGAAACUUAAACAUUUUAGUUUAUAAGAAAAGGUGACUGUGGAAGAGGGGUGAUAUGAGAUUCCUAGCUGUAGAGUUUAGGAGAUUCACAUCCAUUGCCAACCAGAUGAUCUUUUACCUACUGCCAUGCACUUCACUGAGCAAAAGAACAUAUUGUUUUUCAUCCCAAAAUGUUCUGCAAAAGUACAGGGUUACACUUCAUUUUUCAAAUAGACAUGGAACCUACUCAGCAUGACCAUCAGAUAAUGUGAUAGCUAAAGGAAAACCUGCCCUUGUUGGUUCCCAGCCCAGUGAUUACUGUUAAUGUGCAUUUCCUAGCAAAAGCAUCAUUCUGCCUUUGGAACUUCACCCCAGGUAUUUCAAAGACAACAUUUGUGAUGGUGUGCCAAAAGCAAACUUUAGUGCAUAGCAAUAGAUGCACAAACCGGCUUUAAACAGACUGAAUCCAACACGGACAAUCUCCCCUAAUGCUUAUUCUACACCCACCAGGUACUCAGUUUAGAUAAAUAAUCCUUAAAUCACCUUGUAACAAUCUUAGAGCAGGAGAAGUUAAAGUGUUUCCAUGUUGUAGAGUAAGACCUAGAGAGCAAGGGACCUGGAAGCACAGGGUACUAUUUUAAAUUCCAAACCUAUUCAGAUGCUUAAUACAUUUAUUUCUUUAAAAUAUUUUAUAUCACAUUCUUUUUCAAUUGGCAAUAAUUGCACCUUGGAUUAAUCAUAUUGGCUGCAAUACUGUCACUGCAUAUGUAACCAAAUUAGUUUACAAAAGGUUUGUCACUGAUAAUUUUUGUUUUAAAAAAAACCAUUUGUAGUCUUUAAAACUGCAGCACCAGCAAGGAAAACAGUCUAAAAUGAGAUGAAAGUAUCAGUAAAGAUCUAUGAAGCUGAACAUAGAAAGUAAAGUAUCAUUUAAUACAAUCCUGUGGAAACCAGAGUGCAUCUUGGUUAAUCUAAAAUGACUCAUUUCCCAGGGGAAUGAUCUUGCUACACUCACUUAGCAAGUUGCACUGUCAGCAUAAAGACGAAACGUGAACCUUUAAAACAAGCAAAUCUGGUCUUGCAAUACAAUUAUCAUUAUAUUUAAUAGCCAGUUAUUAAUGUGCUGCAAUAAGUUACACAGUAGCUUUUAACAGGCAGCAGUAUUUUGUCCCAUUACAUAUUUCAGAGAGAAAGUAAUUUCAGAUUUGUUAUCUCCUCCCACUUCACAACAUAAGAGAGAUAUAUUUCCGCUGAUUGGUCUUGGUCAUCUUAAAUAACACAUUUGGCCUACUAGUCAGUUGCGAAAGAUGAAUGCUUUAAUUUCAUACCAUCUUCCCAGUGGAGAUAAUCUCGCAAAACAUAAGAAAGUGGUAACAACAUUUAUUUUCCUGAAAUUAAAAUAUGCUGAUCAAACAUUUUGUUCUUGGCUGUAAUUUAAGGAAAAAUUCAGACUUGUUCAAGAGUAACAAAAUAACUAUUUAAAUUGAAUAUACAUUUAUGUUUUCAUUUUACAUAAAUGGGAGACUAGACAUAUUUUGAAUAGGUAGAAAAUAGAAAGUGGGCAAAGCUUGGUAUAAUACAUGCUUUGUAAGCAGAAGAUCCCAGAUUUUUUUUGUAUAUUAUAUUUCUUUUCGUCUUUUCAAAAUCUUUAGUUAUCAAAUAACCAACUUAAACAGGAAAAACAACCUCAGGUCAGAGACUCAAAUAAUAUCAAAAUAUGCUAAAAUAAUAUUUUUGUUAAACAACAUGUAUAUUUAAUUUUUAUUUUUAUUCAAUUGUAUUCUUUAUUUAUUCUUGUAUGUUUUUGAAUUAUAUGUUCUUGCUUAAAUAAUUUUUACAGAGCAAUUAUGGAGCUUAAUAGAGACACGACACUAGAAAAGCAUCUGUCAAAGUUGAUUUAAGUGUAGUGCUCAAUACAAGAGGUUGGACCAGAUAACCAAAAAUGGCUUCCAAAUUUAUGAAUCUAUGGGUUUUAUCUAAUGCUUUGUACAUGAAGUUCCUCAAACAUGAUGGGACUCCCUCAUGCCCCUGCAAAAUCUGCUCUGGAGAAUCCUCCAACCCUCUGGACUAUAUUUUAAUGGCAGGCUGCAAGGUAUAGGAGGGGUGGAAAUACUGUUGCGCAAGCAAAACUCUGCUGUACUAGCAGAACAGCAGCAUUAGAUAGGACCCUGUAUCUUGAACUAGCCAUGAUGCUUCUAACCUCCAAGAUGGGAGCAAAAACAUAUGGUGCCCUUUUUCCUCCAUUGUUGGUUGCCAUACAUCCUCUUUUUCCAGGGCAUGUCCUCUUUUUCAUGGGUAGAGUAGUCAUAGUGAUCCAUACUUAAAAGUAGAAGUCGGUAAAUGUGUCACCUUUUUUGCUUUUCAUAAUAUGGCAACUCUACGAGUCCAGAUAGAAAAUAGGGACAUGCUCCAUUCUCACGCACAUAGGAUGUACGGUAAUCCCUUUUAGGAAUCUACCGUACUUGUCAUCUGCAGUUUUCAUAAGUACUUGUCUUGGUGUGUAAAAGGUUAAAAUAAAAUUGCCUGCAACCACUGCUGCUUUUAUGGGAUUUAUGGUGUGGGUGUAUGGGUGUUUCAGUCUUCUACCAGUUCAGUUCUAUGUAAGCCAGCCUCAGGGGCAGUCCUGUUUAACACUGUAUAAUAAAGCAACUGUUCUGUUUUCCUGGAGUGCGUUGUGGUGUGUGGUUGACAGAAAGCUACACAGCUGUGUAGACAGAUGCACAAAGGGCUCACUUAAGAAUAUUACAAUUUCAAUUAUUCAUCUCCAAUCAGUGAAGAACCACAAGUUUAUGUGUCAUUAUAUUAAAAUUUAUAAUACUGUGUGUAGUUUUUAAAGUAUUUUAUUUACUGCACUUCUAUACUGCCCAGUAACCAAAGUUCUCAGGACAGCUUACAAUAAAGGUUCUGGUUCCUACCUAUUAGUGGCAGAGUAAAUAAAGGCAGCUUGCAGCCAGAUGCAAAGCAUGUUUGCUCAGAUGUGAGACCACAUUUUGUUCUUUAGUUCCGUUUCCAAUCUGGCUCACUGGGGGGGGGGGGAAUCUUCUCUAAACCAAUUUUUACUUUCCAGUUCCUUGCAUAUGCUCUUCGUGUGUUCAGUGAGCAUGCCUCUGGGGGCAGUUUGACAGCAGGUUACACCCACAACCUAGGUGUUUUCAAGGGACCUCUUUCCAGAUGUUCAAAUAAACCUGCAUAGAUUGGGAGCGAAGCCUGCCACUUUGCUAAUACACCCCCACAAGUACAUUCACGGAAUGCACAAGGAAUAUUUGUAAGCAGAUCAAAUGGCAUUUUUGCACUUGAUUUGAAAGGUGAGGAAGCAGAGGUCUGUAAAAAAAAUUCCCUCAGCAUUUGGUAUGAUGAUUCAGAAAGACAGCUUAUGAACUGGUUUUAGGCAUGCCAUGGUAAACUUUCAUUUGAUAGUUAUUUGUAGUCAUCCAGCAGUACGAUUUCUGAGUCAACCCUUUCUAUUUCAGCAGAUGUUUCCUGGAACUUUUCAAAUGGGCUACAACACCUGUGUUCAGAACCCAAUAUUAUCUGGGAUCAUCUUAAGUCACCCAUCAGGAAGCCCUUAUGGUACAGUGUUAUAAUGCCACACCAGACCUAUCAUUUACCUUGACAAAAAUAGAAAGUCAGAACUCUACAGGUUUGAUCAUCACAAGUCCUGUUGUUACCUCAAAAUCAUGCAAAGCCAAGCUUCAAUUGUCAACAGGUCAAACUAGUUGUUAUAUUAACAGCAUUAAUUAACAUGCAUUAACAAAUGGAGAAUCCCAUCUGAUGGGACCAAUUAGCAAUGCAGCCCAAGGAGGGGGAGAGGAAGAGUUAAAUCAUUUCCUCCACACAUCCAAAUUAAAUCCCCUCCCUGAAGCUGCUAUUUGCAUAGGAAGGGAGGUUUCAGUUGGCACCACUGAUGUAUUUGGUGGACAUAAUUUAUAUUUCAGACAUGACCUUUAAGAUACUUAUAUAUAAAUUAUUUUUUUAAACAGGGGAAGGCAUACUUCUAAAUUUUCAGCAUUUCUUGCUGUGACUUUUUGGACAAUCUAUUUUAAAAAGAGCAUCAUUGUCUGGUAAACAAUCUGUUGAUCACAGCUGGUUCUUUAACUGCAAAAUACAUAAGAAAAUUAAUGGAUGAAUAAUGAAGUGCCUUGCAAUCUUUGGUGAUGAUGGAAAUUAUUCAUUAUAAAAUAAUCUUGGAAAUUAGACUGUCCAAUUUUAUGGAAAGCUUGAGAUCCUUUUUGAUGUACCACAAUAGAAUUGAAACACACAAAGUGAGUAUGCAAGAAAUAAAUACUGUGUAUAAUAGUUUUUCAAUCAUAACUCUUUUUGGCAGUGAGAUAUUAACUAUAUUUUAAAAACAAAUAUCAUAAUAUAAAUCUCAACCACCUCAAAAGAAAACUGGCGCUACUGCAAACAUUUGUCAAAUUAUUCAAAAUUGUGAAUCAACAAUCUUAAAAAUACACAGCCAACAGCAAUAUUUAGCUGAUAUGUCUUAACCAUUAGCAAAGGUAGAAAAAUUAGAGAUCGACAACUCUCUGUGAAAUUAUUUCAUGUGAACAGUAGAAGCACUACAAAGCGCCUAAUUCCAUAGUCAAACUGGAAAACUCAUUUUCUUGAAUGACAAAUGAUAUCUUUCUUUAACUCACAUACUGAAGUAGUAAUUUACAAAUGUGGGUAAUAAUCUUUUUUUUUUAAUGGGGAAAACUGAGAUACACAGAAGUUAAUUGCCUUGCCCAAGGUCAUUCAACAAAUCAAUAAAAGAAUAAGGCAUGAAGCCAAAAUGCUAAAGAUCUUCUUUAUAAAUUAUCAUCUGAAUACCAUUAUAGACAACCCUUCCUGACCCCUCCCUAUCUGUGGGUUACAUACCAAGCUAGAAAGAAGCCACCUAAUUUCUUUCUGCUUACAUUUCAGAUCCAAGUUCGAACCAUAAACCACCUCCAGUACAAGUUUUUCUUAUCUACUUUAGAAUGUUUUAAAGCGAUUUCUUUGGAUUUGUUUGAUAGUGUGGGAGGAACAAGGGGUAAAAGUUCAAGGCUGGCCUUUAUUUCAUCUAGAUCUGUUUGCUCACUGUUAAAUUUGAGACCUCAGGUACAGAGAUAUUCAAAACUUUUAAAAUGCAGCUAAUGAGUUGCUGUGCCCUAGUAACCACGGCAACAGGCUGAGAAACCUCACUGCUGUUAUCUGUGGGCAAACCCUGCAGGAGAGUAUUUGCAUUCAUUCUGGUUGUAUCUCUACAAUGCUGGUAACUGAAAGGAAACUUAAUUAGGGUAUACAAUCAAGAUUACUGAAUACAGGUUACUUUCCUCCUUUAUGCAUAUCAACUAUCUUUUUAUUUCUACAAUGAGGCUGGCUGGAGAUAGGGUUUUCCCCUUGCUUGCUAAAAGAAAAGGAAUCACUCUUGAAAAUAGGCUUUCUAGAUUGAUUAUGUAUUUCCUUACAUUAACUUUUUAAAUUUAAUUUAUCAUGGGUCAUUCAUUAAGGCACAGUUGCUCUCCCCUGUUAUGAUAAGUUAUUUUAACUUCUUGUUUUGUUAUCACCUUUGUUUUGGCAAUAAUACAUUGACAAAUGCUGUAAAAUAGUAAUUUCCAAAGACUUAAAAUAGAUAAUAUAACAGUUCAGUGGCUUUUACUCACAGGUAAGUGUGCUUAGGAUUGCUGUUUUAAAUCAUUUCUAUCACAAACUUUUGCAAGUUUACAGAAAAAAAUAAUAAAAUCAGUGUCUAAAAACAUUCAGUCAAUAUAAACAGCAAACAUAAAAUAAGCUUGAAUUCAAGCAGCUGGCAAAUCCGUUCCACUUCCCAAUGGGGAGGAGUUGCGGUGGACCGUGUGGUCACCACCUCCCCACCGGGGGCGGGGGACUUUGUCCCCCGUUGCCUGGGGGAUCCCAGCCAUGUCAGAGCCUGGCCAGCCAAUCCGCUGGCUAGGGGGGGGCAGGGCCGGGACCGUUUAAACUGAGGAGCGAGCCAGAAGACUUCCUCUUUGGCUCGCUUCCUCAAUUAUUGUUGGUUGUCGGUGCUGCUCAGGCAUUGGCUUUGUUCGUGUUUUUUGCUUUAUUCUGAGUUUUGGCCUUAUUCUGGUGUAUUGGAUUCGAUUUGAGACAGAUAUUGACAAUCUGGAACAUGCGCAGAGGAGGGCGACAAAGAUUAAGGGUCUGGAACCAAGCUGGGUAUGUUUAGCCUAGUAAAGAGGAGACAGAGGAAAUAUUGAAAGGACUGUCACAUGGAAGAUGGAACCAGUUUGUUUCUUCCUGUUCCAGAGGCUAGGACCCAAACCAAUGGAUUCAAGUGACAAGAAAGGAGAUUCCAACUAAACACUAGGACAAACUUUCUGACAGUAAGAACUGUUCAACAGGAACAGACUACUCCCUCAGAUUGACAUAACUUGCUUGGAGUUUUUUUCAGCAGAGUUUAGAUGACCACCUGUAACGUAUGAUUUAGUGGAGAUUCCUAUAUUGCAGGGUGAUAGAAUAGAUGACCCUCAGCAUCCCUUCCAACUGUAUGAUUCUAGGAGGCAGUACAGGUGCACAAUAGUGUUAGUCCUGGAUUUUCUGCAGCCAAGAAAGGACUGAGGGACAGGAAUGCAAAAGAACAUCAGCAGAUAACAUACGUCUCUUAAUUGCUCAAACUUGUGAGCUAGCUUGACCAGAGAUUAUGGAGAUCAAGGGAUGUCAUCUGAUGAUCUGACCUAUUCUGGGCUUUUAAUUCAGGGAGGAUUUUUAAUUCAUGAAGCUUGUUGUCUUCUGCUCUCCAGUUUCCAAGUUGAGUGGUCAUGUAAAGAUUAAAUACUUGCAUUGUAAUUGGGUGCCAAGAUCUAAAAGGCUGCAAAGUAUCAAAUGAGAUGGGAGGAGAUAUUGGCAUCCAAUUCUCACUGCUUUUAUGUAUCAUUACUGUUGUAUACAGUCAUUCAUUGGGUUGUUGACCACUUUGUGGCUGGAAAUAUAUCAAGUGUGUACUUACAAACAUGUUGGAGGACCCUAGAAUGGAUGGAUGGAUGGAUGGAUAGAUGGCAUUUAGCUGCACACACGAAUGGCCUUUUAAACAGCAACAAACCAUGCAUUCCUUCAUAGCAGCAGCGAAACUUCCCUUAGUGGUGAUUGAUACACUUCCUGGAUUCUCGUAAAAGGUAAAGGUAAAGGGACCCCUGACCAUUAGGUCCAGUCAUGACCGACUCUGGGGUACGGCGCUCAUCUUGCUUUAUUGGCCGAGGGAGCCGGCGUACAGCUUCCGGGUCAUGUGGCCAGCAUGACUAAGCUGCUUCUGGUGAACCAGAGCAGCACAUGGAAACGCCGGCGUACCUUUCCGGCUGAGCGGUACCUAUUUAUCUACUUGCACUUUGACGUGCUUUCGAACUGCUAGGUUGGCAGUAGCAGGGACCGAGCAACGGGAGCUCACCCCGUCGCGGGGAUUCGAACAGCCGACCUUCUGAUUGGCAAGCCCUAGGCUCUGUGGUUUAACCCACAGCGCCACCUGCGUCCCUUCCUGGAUUCUAUUUCAUACUAAAAUCAAUGAGCAGAAAAUGACACACUAGUUCUAGGCCCAUUUUACAUUAAAAGCAUUACAGAAGAAGAAUCCCAGGUCCCACAUGAAUAACUCCAAAAUGAGGAGCAUAGAAAGAAGAAACAGCAUGGUACACCCAUAUCAGCACAACCAGAUGCCUUCCACGUGUUCCACCCGUAACAAAACAUGUCUCUCAUGUGUUGGUCUCUAGAGCCACAGCAGGUGCUAUAACUCUCCAAUGGUUUGACUUUACCACGAAUGCGCACUCUUCUGUUGUUUCCCAAGACAGACAGAUGCCAACCAACCAACCAACCAGUUUUUUUCCUUCUUAGCUAGAUUUGUAUUUAAGAGUGAUUGUUGCUAGCUGUGCAAAUCUGGCACCAACUCUUUCCAGACUGACAUGAAUCAUGCUGACAAAAAUGUUGUGCCAGUACUUAAUUGGCAAUACUGAUGAGCCCCUUAGCUGCAAUCAAGUUAGUUCCUUUUGCCAACCACUGCACUGUUGCCAAUCUCUGUCCUUCUGUUCCAUCUUCUUUAGGCUCUGAAGAAAGGAAAGACAUCUUACUUACAUAAUGGCAAUUAUUUAACAGGUCUGGCAUGAAGUUGCACACCUGCCCCUCCACCUUGCAGAUAACGUAAUGUAGAGCAGCAUGCUUCUCAUUCAGCAUGCAAAGGCUAUGGCAGCACCUGCUCAAGACAUUUGAGCACCUGAGGCAAACCGCAAAAUGGUUCUGUUGUAGCCCAGAUAAUGGUAGAAGACCAGCUGGCUACUGUGGAGGUAGCAUCUGGGGUGGGGACUACUGAAGGCAUGGCAGAUCCGGCCUCCAAGGAGUGUGCUACAGUUACUAUUGGCGCUACAGCGGCUGCAAUGGGUGAUGUGUUCCUUGAAGGCUAGAUCUGCCAUCCCUACGGAUCCUGCUGCCUGAGGCAGUCACCUCCCCUUGCCUCAUGCAUGGGUUGGCCCUGCCUCUAGGUUGCCUAUAAACUGGCCUUCAAACUUAAAUUUAUUCCAUGGUCAGUUACCUAAGCAUUGGCCUUGUCUCAAGGUCAUAGGAAAAGCAAAGGCUUAGGGCACAUACCACAGCUUUAGAGAUGGGAGCUAUUCCUGUUCCCAUGCAAGGAAGGAGGGAGGUCUCAGGCCAUCCAAUAUGCUUGAUACUCACACAGAAAACAAUUGGUGUUGCUAAAGCUCUAAAAAUUGGAUUAUAUUACAAUUUGAGCUUAUGGAACAGCAGCACCUGCAAUACUGAUAACAGGAGACAUUACAGUUAAAGCUGUCUAGAGGGAAACAAAAUACAGCAAACCUUUAACUGUGCUGUAGGGAUGCUAUAUUUUCUGGCUCAGUACUUUAAUAUCUAAUCAAUAAACCAUUUGCUAGUUAUACAUGUCAAAUGUUUCUGGAACUCAAGCUAUUAUGACUUGUUUAUCUGUUGUCUGGCUAUACCUUUUCCUUUCAUCAGCUAUUUCAGGAUGUACUAUUUUUAACAGUGCAGUCGCUAUGAGUGAAUCAACCUCUUUUAUUAUCUACCAGUAGGAUUUGGGAGAGAUUUUCUAUAUUCUUCACAAAAACUAUUCUUGGAAGUGAGGAGUACUUGGGAGAGAUCCAACUGCGGGUCUUUACUUUUUUCUGAUUGGUGUAAUGUUGGUUUUACAUUCUAUUACAAAUUUCUCCUUAAAAGUUGAGAAAUACUGUUUUGCCCCCAAAGGCACAGCUACAGCGCUUGACUAUCUGUUUUGGGAGUGAACCUAACCUUUAAAGUUUUAACUCUAGGCUCAAUUUUAUUUUCCAGCACCAAAAGGAGCACCUAAAAUUGUGAGGGGGGGUUCAAUGUGAAUGACAAGAAUAGUUUCUGUGAGGAAUAGAGAACACUCCAUUAAAUAUUCUUUCAUUUUCUUCCCUGAAGUUAAUUUUUAAACAUUUAAGAUUGUAGUAUUUUAAGACUAAUUAUAAAAAUUAUGACAACACUAAAUUUACCAGUUGCUAUGAGACACAGAUAUGUCUAAUCCACCCCAAGGUCUUCUUAUACUAGGCUCUAAAUGUUUGCUCAGAAAAACAAAUUUUUUUGAACAAUGGUUAUGCAAGCAAUUCUUGGCCCCCAAUGAAGCUUAGAAAAGCUAUAAAAACAAACACUUUUUAAAUUAUAUGUGAUUACUCUUUAUGUUUGUAAAUACUUGGAUUGUGGGGGCACUGAUAAGUUCUAAAAGGGCAAUUUAAUUUUUGUAAGCUUCGCCAAAACAGCUGCUGUUUUUACUUGUUUGCCGACUUCAUAUUUCUGAAGCACACGGAAAACAAAUUCUGUUCUUAAUAAUGAGCCAAUUCCAAUUGCUGUAUUGCCUUGGGAUAGCAUUGCAAUACCUGUGUGUACUUGGUGCACAAUUUUGUUUUUAUAACACCCUGGGGUAAUAUAUAUUUUAUGAUAACCACAGCCUCAUGCAUUAUUACCAUGCAAGUUAAUAUUGUUACAUCAUUGCAGCUUUAUCUUCUAAUCUGAAUGCAGCUGGGAUAAUGUUAUUAAAAUACUUUUGCUAAACAUUCUUGUCACUGACAGUAAGCUCAUGUGAUUUUAAAUAGAUUUAUAGUCUUCAUGGUAACCUAACUCAUUGCUCAAGACAAUGAAUCCAGAACAUACACCCAUACGGUUCUAGUUUUAGGUUUGCAGGUGCCCUUGGGUAAGAUACCCUCAGUGGGUCUACAUCUUUGCCACAGCCACGAGUGUCCGGUUUGCUUGCCCUCCCCCUCUGAGUCCAGUUUACACUGCUGUCAAGAGGGAAAGUGCUAAGCACUUUCUCCUUUCUUCUCUGAGCCAGCUCGCUACCUGAGACCAUGGACAAAAUAAUACCCCUACUGGUCCAGACACAAACUGACUGGACUUGUAAGUUGCAUCUCACUUCAGUGCUGGAUAGAGGACAGUAUCAUUCACCACUCCUGCAGCCAUCUUAGGAGGUGCAAAGCAGGUCAUGUAGCAUACACUGCUGUCUUCCAGUAGGGUGAAUAGCUGGGGAGAUUCAGGAGGAACAGCUAGUAUGGUUGCUUUGGCUGCCUGAUGCAGCUGCCUCACUCCACCCAGUAGGGCCUGCCCAGCAUCUCCUCCCUCUUGUUGCUGUUCACAUAUUCAACAAUGGCAGUGAAUAGACAGUGACAGCAAGCAGUAACAAGGAUGGGGUUGCAGGGGCCGGCACUCAGAACCACCCUCUGCCUUGUACUCAGUUACCUGUUUGUGACUAGCUAGGCUUCAUGGCAGCCAUUUUGUGAUUAGCCAUGCUCUCCCAAUGGCAGCCAUUUUGUGGUGAUGCCCACCAGUUUCUCAAAUUUCUACAUGCGCUCAGCAAUAUGGAGUGCUUAACAACAGAAUAUGGCAGAAUAAGAUUAACCAGAAAAUGUCUUGGCAUCUUGUCUGUCUUCUAUUUCCACUUCUCAUUAAAGUUUCAAAACUAGUUUUGCUGCCAAAAGUAACGUCCCAAUUAAAUAUUCAGAAGCAGAUAGGUGAUAUAUCACAACACUAAAACAAAUAAUCCUUAUGGGGAAAUGUGGCGUGCAUUCCCAGAAGCUUAAACAGAAUAAAAAGUUCAUGAAGAUUAAUCAUCUUUCACUUUCUUGCGCUUCCUUUUAAUUGCGUGAAUCUACAGCAAAGGACCAAUAUGAUCAAUUUGUAGACAUUUUUUCAGCAAACCAGAGACAGGCUUAGAUUGUAGUCUGUGGCUAUCAGCCUUAAGUACAACACCGCUCUUGGGAGUUGUUUUCUAGCUGAAUUAACUUUGUACAAUGCUGAUGAAAGACAGAUACUAAAAAUUAAAUCUUGAUAAAUGUGCUUCUUUUUUAAAAAGCAAAAAAAUGUACUACACAUUUUGUUUAUCAGCAUACAAUAUAAAGGAAACCACGUUGCUGAGUAGUUGCUUUCCCUUUACCUCUAAUAAUGUGAUACUGAAGGCAUGGAACAAACCAAAACACAGAUGGGACCAAAUGUUGAGUUGUAGGACGCUACUUUUCUCAUACUGGAAGUAUCCACAGUUCAAGGACUGCAGGAAAUUUGCAGUAACAGUCAGAAGCAUACAUAUGGGUCAGCCAUUAAGUGCUACUUAAUGAGGGGUUCAGCAAGGAUAAUGUCCACUCCUGCUUCAAUCUCCCUGAGUUGGAAAGCAAACAAUCAGGGAGCUUCCUAUUCUCACAGGUUUGCCCUCCAACUGGGCCUGGCCCACCAAUAAAGCAAGUGGAGGCGACCACCUCAUCUUGCUGCUAGUUAUGGAACCUCUUGGGACAGUCUUAUUUGCUUUGUUAUGAAAUUCCCUUCAUAUUAAGACACUUAUCAUUUCUCAUUGUCUAUAAUGGAUUAGGAUGUAAUUUGCAAAUGGAUCUCUUGUUUUAAAGUUACGCUUGCAAUAAAAUAACCAGAGCCAAUUUCAGAAAUAUCUUUUGUGUAAUUGUGAAAUAAUGAAAAGACACCCUUGGGAAUCUGCUUCAACAUCGAAAUGGCUUAAAACAUUUUGGAAGAUUGCGAUGGAAUAUAUUGUUGAAUUGAAACAAUAUAAAUGUGAAAGAGACAAAAACUCUUCAGUUCAAAUUGAUGAGUUCAUUAGAAAUUAAUGGUAGCAAAACAAGGGGGAAAUGACAGCUUGUUUCUGGGUCUGGCUUGUGAAACACACAGGUAUGUAAUUGCUUUGAAAACAAUUAAGACAAAAAUGUGAAGCUGGUAUAUAAGCCUAUUGUAUAAAGUAUACAGAAUAUAUAUCCUUUGAAUAUCUCAAAUGACACUCCAUCCCUAUGAUCCACUUGAGUGUUAAGAUCAGGAGAGGAAAGUCUCUCAGUAGUUCCACCACCCUCAGAAGUGUGGGGAAUGGUGACCCAAAGAGGGCUUUCUCUGUGGCAGUCCUUGUGUUGUAAAAUUCAGUCCCCACAGAGGUGCAUCUAGCACUGUCAUUAUUCAACUUCCGCUGCUUGCUGGAAACACACUUCUUUAUCCUAGUCUUAGGUAUUUUGGUUGGAUCCACCUCUUCUGUUUUGUUUAUCUUAUACUGUGCUGGUUUUCUUAGAACUGUUUUACUUUUUUAUAAUUGUAUAAACUGUUUUAUCUGUUUUUCUUGCUUUUAAUUGUAUUGGUGUGACCUGGGCUUGGCUGUUGUGGUGAAGGACAAGUAAGAAAACUUACAAAUAAAACAAUAUCUGCAGGAUUAUGCAUUUUGUAGUAGACUGGUUUCCCCACUGCCCCGAACGCUUCUGAAUCUCUGGAAGUUAAAUCUUAGAAGAUAAUUUAGCAUUUUCAGAAACAUGUUUACCAACAGCGGUAACCUCCACUCAUUUUUGUGUUCCAGUUCUACACGGAUCUUUAGUUUCACCACAUAAUCUCUGUUGAGACAUUUCAUACCCUGAAAUACCCUGUUCUGGCCAGCACUCUGCGAAGAUGUGCUCCACCAGGGGAACAGAAAAUCUGGAAGCUGAAUAAGUUUCAGAAACAUUUUAAGACUUGCAGGCCUGAAGCCACAUUAUGGUUGUGGGGUUCUUGCCUUCUUAGAUAUUCUUGACCCCUUUACUGUUUGUUUGUUUUUAAGCAUGUCUAUGGCUCUUUUUUCUUUCAGACCUUGAAGGAAAAGCUCACAGGCAGUAUUGUGUCUGCUUGCCCAGUAAGAAGCAACCAUGCUCCUGUCUUCCUGCUAGAUGGUCAAAUCCAUCAAUUUUUGUUUCUCUCAGUUUCCCAUUUUAAGUCUUUAAUUCAAUUCUCCACAUCUCCAUGAGGGUCUGGGAUUUAUUUUUUUAAGGCCUCGCAGAAAUUCAUCAGCAAUUUAGUGUGAAUUUCUCUUAAUAUGCACAUCUAUAAUUCGAUGGGUUCAUGAUUUAUACAGUGGUACCUCGGGUUACAUACGCUUCAGGUUACAGACUCUGCUAACCCAGAAAUAUUGCCUCGGGUUAAGAACUUUGCUUUAGGAUGAGAACAGAAAUCGUGCUCCGGUGGCGCAGCGGCAGCAGGAGGCCCCAUUAGCUAAAGUGGUGCUUCAGGUUAAGAACAGUUUCAGGUUAAGAACGGACCUCCAGAACAAAUUAAGUUCUUAACCCGAGGUACCACUGUAUAUGCAAUUUUGCCUAAUACACACAUUUUUCUGGGCAAUUUUUCACUUAUAAUGCAUUUUUAUGCACACUUUAUGCAUUUUUGUACACAACUGGAGAGCUGCAUUGCAAAAUUUGGAAAAGUGCAAAGUUGAAAGAUGGCUGUGUUUUGGUUCACAUUGUUUCAGAAAGUAUGAAUCUGGUAAAUUUUCCUUUAAAUGUGAAUGGAAUCAAAAUUCUCUCCCAUCCCCACUUCCUGUAUUCUGGGAAGUAAAUAAAAAAGCCAUAAUAAAAAUCCAUGUUUUAUGGCUAUGUAAUACAACUGUAUGAUUUCAAACCUUUUUGGCUCCCUGUUGCUGUAUUGGUUGUAUUUCUCCUACUGAUGGCUUCCUAAGCACAAAAUUCCUUGCUACAGUGGUGCGUAUAUGGAUUGGCUUUUACAGAUUGAAGAUAUGAACCUGCUUGGAGUAAGGGCCAAACUACAUGUUGUUUGUUUGUUUGCUUGCUUGCUUGCUUGCUUGUUUGGUAAAGAUAACUACAUGUUAUGUUAACUGCAUAAUCUAGUGUUUUGUGAUUUGAAUAUGUGGUGUGUAUGUGUCCCCCACCCUCCCCUGAUAAGCAGGAGAUCUGGGAUUUGUACAAUAGUAAGAGAGAAAUGAAAUACAAUAUAAUGUGCAUUUGCUGGAAAUGCAUUGAUGGAUGAGAAUCAUCACAGGCACUGGGAAAGUAUAUGUACCAAGGAAAGUACUUUGUCUUAAUUUACAUGGAACUAUGGUGAAGAAUAGCGGAACUAAAUUAAGAAAGAAAACAUUUGCCCAUAAUAGUUCAAUUAAGUAUCAGGAGCGCAUGACUUUACUAUAUCCUGUUCAACUGGACAUUCUCCAGGAAGAAAUGCUGCCUAAAACAAUUUGAAUCAAUGACAUAAUGAGCAGGUUGAUAUAAUAUGCUGUUCUCAUCUCUGUUUUUUUCAGAUUCUAUUAAACAUCCCCUGAGUGCUAUACUUAUUAUAGCACGCUAUGGUAAUAGAGAGUUUUUCAGGAGCCUUUCAUUGUCAUACAAAGAUUAUUGCAAAGAGAGAUUGCCAGAAAAAUGGGACCACUGUUUAACUCCAUAGCCCAUAAUUAUCUGCAAUCAUUUUGCAUGCAGCCUUUUAUACUAACAUGGAGAGUUGUAAAACUGACAAGCUGAUUUUUAUAGCAGGAAUUGAUGUGUGUGUCUGAUGGCACUGAGUGAUAGAAGUGCCUGCUGACAUCUGAGAUAGGGGCUUUGCAUUCAAAAGCAACUGCAAUUUAAGCCCUUUCUUAUGAGCACUGGACAAACAUCAAAUAUAACUGACGCCAGUCAUCUGAUCAAUGACAUCUCUGAAUGAAGGUUUUUCCUUACAAUUCAUUUCUGUACUAUAAAUGCAUAUUUCGUUACUCAUUUGUUUCAUGGAGCCUAUAUAUAGCAGCUGUGCUUCCAUUGCAUUUCAGAUGAAUCCAUUUUCCAUUGUAUGGCUAUUGUUGCAUCCCACCCCAGUCUUCGAGCAGUGUGAGAUUCUGGGGGUUCCAAGUACUCAUGUUUCCUUUUGGAAAUGAGGCAAAGUGGAGACCGUGGUGUAUUUAGGCUAUAUGGUUUAUUUGCACAUACAUACAACCUGAGCCUAUGAUGGAGGAGUUCACAGGAUUAGCACCCCAAGAGAGUCUUGUUUCUCCCAUAAUCACAGCCUUGGAUUCAAAGAGAAAUCAACCAUCAUGCAGCUCUCUCUCUCUCUCUCUCUCUCUCUCUCUCUCUCUCUCUCUCUGCAACCCUCUCUCCAGCUUGCUGCCUUUACCAGCUUGUGACCAUUUUCCCUCUCAGUCACAUCACAGCCAACCCUCAACUCUAGCAUUGUUUUCUAAUUAACUCUGAGUGGAGGGAGGUGGCUGUCUGGCCCAUUUGCUGUCUGGCCCAGAACCUUGCUUUCUCAAUGGCUAUCUCCCAAGUGAUCUCCUGAACAUGGGGAACUGGGUCCAGGGAUUAGGAGUCUGGUGUUCACUUUAAUCCCCCAAGCCUUGAUUAAACUAUAACACCUACUGGACCCAGGAAGAUUCUGGCACCCACAAACUCAUAACACUAUCAAUGGGUCACAUUUUGUAGUUGUGGUUAAAUGAAAUAUAUAGUACCCCAUAUUUCAUAAAAACAAAACCCAUUACUGUAGCCCUUGCUAGAUGUAGUGUCAUUGCACAAUUGUUAUAAGCUACUAUGCUUCUUGGGGCAUAAGUUGUGAUAAGCAAUCCCAUACCUUUACCAUUUUGUGAAAAAGAGGAACAGAAGUUGAACCUACUUGUAACUGAAGUGAAAUCUCAAAAUAGGCAACUGUUCCUGCAAGCUGUUUGGCCAACGGGCUGGGAUAGUUCUGGCAACUCAGGUUGAUGUAUCUAUUUAUUUGCAUUUUAAACUAGCCUUUCCAAUAUUUAACUACAAUGGUUCACUUUAUCUUUCUCUAAGGUGAGAGGCCACAAAAUUCCAACAAUGCCCCAGAGACAAAAGCAACAUAUAUUUUACAUGUCCCAGAAAGAAUCCUUGUAACAGCUUGGGGAAAGAAUUAGGACCCAAAUUAACAUCUAGUCCCCGUCUAGGAUGUGAGUCCCAGAGAACACAACAACCAUUCUCACUUGUAGCAAAAUAUUAAUAAUCUGGCUGUGGAGAGCAUUACUGUCAGGUCAUUGUCAUGGUCAUAUCAUUAUCUUGCCUGGAUUUGGGAUGUUGGAGAAUUUCAAAAGGCAGGUUUGGGCUUAAAAAAAAAAAUUCUUUUAAUUUACAGACUUAAUUUACUAGAGUAUCUGGGGUAUGCAGAAGCUGCUACCUUAUUUUAUGGGUGGGCCCAUUUUGCUUCAAAACUUAAACAUACUCAAGCACCUAACUUUGCUCUUGGACAAAAAUUAUUAAUGUGUGCAAAAGAUCCUAAAAUUGGGCUUGAACCAGCCUUAAGCAAAACAAAGUGUGUGUUGUCCACCAACUUCCUUUUUUUUAAAGUAAUCAAAACAGUCUAAUGUAUACAUUUGUAACACGGUAAGAUUUUGUGCACUAUAUCUUUGUUUUUGGUUUUUGUUUUGUUUUGAUUUUUAAACAUUGCUUUACGUAUAGAAGAAGCAUACACAGGAAAUGCAAACUACAAAUAGCAAUUUGUUCAAAAGAAACCCACAGGAAGUUUUGCAAGCCGUUCAACAUCAGGCUGUCUUUUGCCAUGCGAGACAAAAGCUGCUCAGUAACCACUGAUGCAUUGAUAAUUAAGGCUUCUUCAGCAUGACAUAUGAAACAAUGGCUUUGUUUCUAUCUGGAAAUCAAAUGGGCAUGAAGUUGCCCUUUACAUGUGUGGCACUGAUCCAGGAUUGAGGCAGAGGGGCUUCAUAUUCCUACUAGUAGCCCAGGCGAUGCAGAGGGUGGGCAAGCCAUACAAUCCCUCAGCUGUAGCCAGUAAGGGUUGGCUGAGAUCAUGCAACCUAUCUACCCGCCUUCUAAAGUGGCCAGGAUGGUCCUCUACUGUCAGAGGAUAGCCUUCUAGAGGAAGGAGUCCUACCUUUGAAAAACUGUCCAGUUCAAGUCCAGUUUAAAGAUAAAUAACUCUAAGAAGGGAGAGCAGGGAGCUUGAAAUUGCCUGUCAACCAUAUGCACCUGGACAACAGACUGAGCACAUGGGUCACCUGCUGACAGUCUUCCCCACCAGGUUUGGAUGUUUAGGGAAGUUUUUAAUGUUUGAUGUUUUAUUGCAUUUUUAAUUUUCUGUUUGGAGCUGCCCAGAGUGGCUGGGGCAACCCAAUCAGAUGGGUGGGUUACAAAUCAUCAUCAUCAUCAUCAUCAUCAUGAUCAUCGUUAAAAUUACAGCAAUUAUUUCUCUACCUAUCAACUAGCACUUGCAAAGUUAGUGCAAAGCUGUGCCCUCUUUUGUUUUCUUUUUUGGUAACUCAUUUGUGGCUACCUACCCUGCCCUCUUCAUUGUCCCACAGCCACCCAGAAAGCAGACAUUGCUUUCAGUACAUCUUUUCCAAAUAUGACUUUAGUUGGAUAUAACUUAAAAAUAUUUUUUUAAAAAAUAUCACUUCAAACUUGAAAAAGGAAAAUUACAUAUAAUUGGGCUGUCAGACACCAACAUAUCAUAUAUAUCUUGUGCUAUGCAGUCUGGGCCCCUGUUAUAUCAAAUGGGCUUGUUUAUUUCAAAUUACUUGGUCAUGUAUUAUAUGUCUGCUUUGAGGGCAUCAAUAUUUAUCAUUAAAUUCACCCUGUACCACACAUUUACUUCUCUCUCUCUCUCUCUCUCUCUCUCUCACACACACACACACACAGCCCAUAUGUAUCUUAUUUAGAAGCAACAUCUUCACCAUCUACUUCAUUCAUCUGUUGAACUAAGUUCUUGCUGCAAUAAAUAAGGUUAUAGAAAGGUGGCAUGGGAGAUUUUUAUCCUCCUCAGUGUCACCAGAUGGCGCUGCAGAGUAGUUUUGCUUAGGACUAGUAAACAUAUAACCUACCUUUACCUUUAUUUACCUGUCCCUGAUUAAAAUUCUGACUUCUUCCUCCCCACUCUCAUUUACAAUUUUAUUAGCAAUUAGUAAAGAAAGUGCUUUAUUCUCAGAAACAGAUCUUACGCACAUGUUUUGGAUGUGAAAGCUCCUUCACACAGUACAAUGAAAGUACUGUAUUUAAGCAUAUCUUUUGUUACAUGCGAAGGAGCCAUCAGUGUGGCUUCAGGUUUUAAGAACCACAAUAAUUUAGGAACUUCCACUUUGAGGGAUUAAUAUUAAUGGGUCAUAUAUGAUGAACUAUGGGCCGUUGAUGAAAGUAUUACUAGGCCAUUGCUGAAAUAAGGCUAGGAAAGUUUUGUUGCAAGAACCUACAACUAGUGAAGGAAUGACCAGAUAUUUAUUUGAUAUAAGUGCAGGUAAAAAAAGGUAAAGGACCCCUGGACAAUUAAGUCCAGUCAAAGGAGACUAUGGGGUUGCGGCGCUCAUCUCGCUUUUAAGUGCAUUACAUAUUUGGGAUCAUACUAGUCAUGUUAAAGUCCAUGUCAGUUUCUCAACACCACAGCCAUCGUCUGUUAAUGGAGGAAUGUUACAGUCAUUGCACAUGCUGUGGCAUUGGAAGUUGAAGGGCUCCUAAGCUAGGAUCUGGAAGCAGCUCUGACACAAGGGUAAAUGAAAUAUACUCAGAGUCGCAAAGUGAUUUCAUGCUCUUUAUUCAGCUCAUAGUGGUGAGGAGGAAUGAAUGAAAGUCCCCUCAAAGUAUCUACUUUAUAUACAUUAUUUACACAAUGGGCUGCACAUGAUUGGCUAAUUCUGGAAUUCUACUGUAAGCCAAUCAGGUUGUGGAUUCACUUAUAUCUGGAGCAUGAUUGGGUGGUUCCUGCCAACCAAUCAUACUGCUGCAUUGUUCUAGGACCAAUCAGACUGCUGCAUUCUGAAUCCUAUUGUUCUAGGACCAAUCAGACUGCUGCAAUUUGGAUCCUAUUGUUCUAGGACCAAUCAGACUGCUGCAGUUUGGAUCCUAUUCAACUCAGUACAUAACAGUAAAUAUAUCCUAAUGCACUUUACACUGAUAAGUAGUUUUGUGGCAUCAUAAAAUAGAGAUGGAGAAAAGACAUCCUGACAUUUAGACAACUAUUAAACGUGUAAGAUUACUGCACUAUUUCUUUACUAUUUUUAAUGUUAUUAGAUUGUUAUCUGCUCUUGAAAGUGGAAUGGUUGGUUAUUAUUCAAAACCAGCUGUUUCCCCCCAUUAAAUUUCUGCAGAUAUUCAUGUAUUUAGGCAAUAAAUAUGUUCUCUUUCCUUGCUGCACAGUGGGCUCUGUCUUGCAGUUGUUCUAUCCUGCUGAAUGAAGACAAAUAUAAAAUAUAUACCUAGGAUAAUAGUAUAGUUAAAAGAACAGUGCAAUACUCAAAAGAUGAUCAGCAGACAAUAAUUUAAAAAUUCAUUCAGAAAAGGCUUGGGUAAAUAAAAGCAUGCAUCUGAAGUAAUAGAUUGCUGGUGUAUGCCUUAUCUCAAGUGGUAAUGAAUUCAGCGUUAAAGGAGCCACAAGUUAAUCAUACAUCAGACUUUAAGCACAGAAGUCUUAUUGUACAGUCAGAACCAAGUCACAGUGUGAAGGGCAAAAAGGUCUUCCUUUUCGGUACACUUCCUGGUUUCGUUGCCAACUUAAACUUCCCAAGAUAGUAGCACCUAAUAUUAUAAACCAAAGUAGCUGAGACUGUGCAUUGUUGAAUGUAGUGUGGGAGAAAAGCAUACAUACAAUAAGACAAAGAGUGUCACUUUUGAAUUUUUCUGCUUAAAAAAAAUUCGGGCUAUCUAUGAUUGUGAGGAAAACUGCAAAACAUUUAUGAGCAAAUAACAUUUAUGACAUAUAUAUAAUAAUACUUGGUAUGCAGCCAAAAAAUUCUUCCAAGAGUAAGAACACUAUGAAAAGUAAUUCUGCCGGUCUUCCUAGGGCACACUUAAUUUCUAGGUACCAAAAUGCAUUACUCUGGUUUUCUGUAUGACAUACCUCCAACAAAAGAUCUGGCUGUGUACUUCAAAAUUAAAUGUGACACAAGGGUUACUGUUGCCAGCAUUUGUCUCUAUCACAGGAAAUAACCUGUAUGUUCUACACAAGGCCUCUAGAAUGCCCUGAGGACUUUAGCAACAAUCUAAUCAAAGUUUUCAAUAAAAGAAAGGGAUUUAUUGAAUGUACGUUGCUUUCUGAUCAUCAAAUGUUGUCAACACUUCGUCAUAUUUACAGUUUCUUUAUAGGCAAUAUUGUUCGGAAGAGAAAAGUAACAUGAAAUACGGCUUAUAUAAUGAAAACCCUACAUGGCAAGUAGUAACCUAGGAAUUUGUAACUGGCUCCCUGCACAAAUCAUAUAUGUUUGUCCAGAUCUGGGCAUUUAAACACAUUUUAAAUGUUCAUAGUUUACUAUGGCAAAUCUCAACUGCAGCUUGCAACAUGCUUAGUCUUUGAAGGUUUUGAAUUCAUUCUAGCUCUCACUGGCAUGGUAUGACGGCAUAUACAUAUGAAGGCAUUAAGUGCUAGUAUAGUACUUAAUUUAUGCCAUACUAUGGGAUGUUAAAAUUAUUACCAUGCUGCAUGUAUCUGUUAACUUGCUUGGUGAUUGUCUUAUUAUAAGCAGAGGGAUUUUGGUAAAAUGAGAUUUUCUAGCUAAUUAUGUAAUUAAGUUGCCUUUCGAUGUUUUGCACUUUAUUUUACUUAAGCACAUUGUUUUGAUAUAAUUAUUGUUGCUUAAUUAUGUUACUUAAAAUGUGGAAUUAGUAGUAGCUGGGGUUGCAGCAGUAUUGUUUUGUAUAAUUUGUAUUGUAUUGUAGUGUUAUAAGACGGGAGGAGCAGAGACAAAGGGCCAGAGUUUCAGGAGGGAGAGGCAGAAUUGCAGUGAGUGAGGAGGUAAGUGAACGGGGUGGUGGUGCUAGUUUUGCAAGCUGGGGGGUGGGACAGAGCAUGAGACAGGCAGUCUGCAGAGAGGGUCAGGCAUGAUGGUUGGAGUCUCUUUGACUUGGAGGCUGCAGCAAUGGAAGGAAUGUGAGAGCUCUGCACUCUCUCCAUCUAGAUGCAGGUUGUAUAUAUGUGUAAAUAAACCAUAUAUGAUAAAGACAGCACAGACUCUAUUGUGCUUUGUUGUUCCAAAAGGAAACACAGACCCUGGUAAGCAUGCCUGGUACUACUAGAAUCUCACACCACUUGGAGAUUGGGGUGGCAUGUAACAGUAUUGUUGGGGGGUAUUGGGGUAUGAAUUGUUGGUUCUCAUUUUUAUUAUGUAUUUUGUGGCUUUUGUAUUGUAAUUUUAUGUUGUGAACUGCCUUGAGAUCUGUGGAUGAAGAACAGAAUACACAUUUUUAUUAAUCAUAAUAAUAAUGAUAAUAAUAUGCAAACCACUUAGAGACUUCUGAUGAACUGUGCAGCAAUAUACAGGUGAAAUAAAUAAUGUAAUGUAUAGGACUGAAAUGCAUUGUUCAUAGAAUGUAUCCACCCAAAAUGAAUGAGUGUACCACUAUCCAACUAAGUUAUAAAGUAAACCAAUUGAAGCCAAUGGACUUAGUCAUAACUAACUUAAGUUCACUGAUUUCAGUGGGUCUCUGAGUAUAACUUAAUCAGAUACAGCUCAUUGUAAAUUAGUGCAAUACACUGGGCUGCUUAGUCCUAUACUGUUUCUGACAGGGCUCUUGUGCACUUAACAGAUGUGCAACAGGCAAAGUUAAUAGGGAGUAUGGCAGAGAGAGCAAACCUUUGCGAUUUCUGCCUGCCAUGCCCCUGUUAAAGGCUCAGGAAUCCUCUGGGGUCAGGGAGAGAAUAUUUAUACCCUAUAGAUCUUUUAAGUUUACAAAAACUGAAAGAGUGUCAUCCUAAUGAACGUAUGACAUGCAUGUUUGGGGAGUAAUAAGGGUUGAAGUAGACAAGUAAGCAUAUACGGUAUUUCACUAAUCAGCUGCAAUGUAAGCAGGUACUAAACAUAGGUCUAGUCCAAUUUUCACCUUUGCUUCCUCUGUUAAAUUGAAUGACUUUGUGAAGCAAUCCCCUGCCUCAGGGUACCACUGGCAUUGAGGAAAGCUUUAUAUUCCUUUCUAUUCCUCAGCUAGCCAAAGUUUAACAGGUUCCUGCUGAACUCCAUGACUCAUGGUUAAUAUACUUUCACCUCUGUCCCUCUGAUUUCCAAGAUCACUUGGUUAAAACUAUAGCAAGAAGGAUGAAAACAAAUGUAGCUUGAUUGCAGCUGAUUUGAAAUGGAUUCCUAGCAGCAUAUCUGUGUAACCAGGUGUAAACAACUGUGCUGGUUUUUACAUAAAUGUUUGCUACGUCAGCUAGAAAAUAUUUUGCUCUGUAAUGCCUUGUUGGAUGAGGCCAAAGGUCCAUCUAAUUCAGCCUUCAUGUCUCCAGCAUUGACUCUCCACACAUUUCAUCAUGUUGUUGUUGUUGUUUAAAAAAAAUACCCUGGUGUGAAGUCAGAAUUUCAUCAAGGAAAGCCUUUUCCUCUCCAUGUCAGGAAAAUAAUGCCUGUGUCAACUGUGAAAGGUUCAAAAGCCCCCCCCCCCCGUGUGUGUGUGUGUGUGUGUGUGUGUGUGAGAGAGAGAGAGAGUGAGAGAGAGAGAGAGAGAGAGAGAGAGAGAGAGAGAGAGAGAGAGAGAAUCAGCUUAGACAGUGAUUUUGUUAAAAGAAUAUUGACCCUGGCUGCUUGGCUACUCCAACAGGACUCAGCAUCAAGUUGCAAAAAGAGCUUGGCCCACAAAUGGCUUUGUGGGUUUGCCAGUCUUUACUGCAGGUUUAUCUGAAACUUUGCUAAUUCAGUUAUAUUUCCUUCCGCCUCCUUGGAGGAAGAAUUAUGAAGUUUGGAAGGUGGGGAAUCAGUGACUCAUAUAACCUGGACAGCUCUGCAGUUUUUAUGGCAGAGGCUUCCAUCUACAGCAAUUACAUCCAGAGUGCAGUGUGAUGAAAGAUCAUGCCACCAGACUUAUAUUUCCUUGAAAUAUUGGAGAGCCCUUGAUUAUAAGCCUCUUCAAGAAUGGGCUCUUUUCCUCUUAAGAAUGCCUUGUUAUAGAUAGACAAUACACCUAAUUAUUUGACUCUUGGAUAUGAACAAUCAUAAUGAAGUGGAACAUUUUUAGAUACAUUUUUUCAGACUGAAUAAAUAAGGUGGUUUUGUGGAAGGAAUUUUAUCCUAACCUAAAUAUAUCUAAGGGACCCGGGUGGCGCUGUGGGUAAAAGCCUCAGCGCCUAGGACUUGCCGAUCGAAAGGUUGGUGGUUCGAAUCCCCGCGGCGGGGUGCACUCCCAUUGCUCAGUCCCAGCGCCUGCCAACCUAGCAGUUCGAAAGCACCCCUGGGUGCAAGUAGAUAAAUAGGGACCGCUUACUAGCGGGAAGGUAAACGGCGAUCCGUGUGCUGCGCUGGCUCGCCAGAUGCAGCUUGUCAUGCUGGCCACGUGACCCGGAGGUGUCUGCGGACAGCGCUGGCUCCCGGCCUCUAGAGUGAGAUGAGCGCACAACCCUAGAGUCUGUCUAACUAUUUGCUCACAUUCAGCCCUUACUGCCUCUGUCACACCACAAUUCCUCUCCAUUGUGGUCUUCACUAUCAAAAUUCUGAUUGUGAUCUCCUUGUUGCAAGGACUUGUUCAUUAAAUGUAUAUACUGUAUACAGCUUGUACAGCAUAUGGGUGGUUUUCAAACCCACUAAAAGCACAAUAGCGAGCCCAUUUGCUUAUUUUAGUCAGUAAACUGCAAAGCAUGCUAAUGACAUUACAGUGGUAGCUGUACAAACUUAAUUCGUUCCGGAGGUCUGUUCUUAACCUGAAACCAUUCUUAACCUGAGGUACCACUUUAGCUAAUCGGGCCUCCUGAUGCCACCGCACCACUGCCGUGCGAUUUCUGUUCCCAUCCUGAAGUAAGGUUCUUAACCCGAGGUACUACUUCUGGGUUAGCGGAGUCUGUAACCCGAGGUGUUUGUAACCCAAGGUACCACUGUACAUUAAUAAUAAUAUUUCAGCUAUAUUUUAUACUGUGUAUUCAUGUCUGUAUUUCCUGUACACUGAUCACAGGUACAGUUGUUGACUACAACCCUAGACCUGUUAAACUAGUCAUGCUGUUUUCCAAUGAAACACUGGACAUUUCAAAUUGGGCUAUGGAACUAAUAUAUUGUUGUACAGCACCCUAAUCUUCAAGCAGUGUGAGAUUCCAGGGAUUCCAGGUGCUUUCUCAGGGUUUGUGUUUCCUCAGAAUGAGGGGCAGGGGAGACUGUGGUGUCUUUAUGAUACAGGCAUCCUCCCACUUGCACAGGGGUCCGUUCUGGGUCACCACACCUGUCAUUCCUGCCUGUUCCACCUUAGUCCCCUCGGUCCCUUUUGGUGUUGUUUUUAGUGCGCACGACACCAAUGCACACGAGUGGGGAGUUGCCUGUACAGUAUAUGGUUUAUUUACACACAUAUAAAACCCUAGCCUACAAUGGAGGAGCUCACAGCAUUAACACCCUAAGAGGAUCUUGUGUCUUCCAUAGCCACAUCCUUGGACUCAAACGGGAAUCAGGCAUGGCUGUGCCUCCCCCAGGUUUCAGCCUGCAGCCUUGCUUCUAGCUCGCACACACUGCUUGUGCCCAGAAUAAAAGCAGCCACUGAAGUCUAAGUGUUAAAUCCUAUGCAUGUUUACUCAGAAGUAAAUUCCACCAUGGGUUUACUCCGUGGUGAGUGUGUUAAGGACUAUAGCUCAAGUAAAUGAAAUUACUUGCCUCAGCCUGCGUCUAAACAUCAUAGUGUGUAACACCAAGGUAUGGUUCCUAAUGCUAAUGUUUGUAAGAAAUAACAUGCUAAGUAUAGAUCUAACAUUUCCUAACUUCUAAGGGAUGACAAAAAUAAACUGAAUCUAAAGAAUUGGCAGCUAUUAAAACAAUCUCAGGAAAAGUACACAGCUGUAACGUAUUUUGCUUUGCACCAUCUUUAUUAUUUCUUGUUGAUUCCACUCCCCUUUCAUCUUUGAUAUAAAUAUAUGGAGUUGCUUUGUUCAUGAGCUUUGUGUGCUCAGCACUUCUUUGUUUGUUCCUCAUGUCAUAAAUAAUGUGCCUUAGAAAAGCACUGAAGAAAGAUGCAGCAUGCUAGUGGCACCAAAACACUGAUUCACAUUUAUUGGUAUCCGUUAAGGUUAAUAUAGAAAAACGCCCUCAGAAGUAUUGGACACAUUUUCACAGAUCUGAGCAUGCAAGCAUGUUUACUGACUGUAUGUAUAGCUAAUGAAGAAUAACUUCUAGAUCAGGGAUGGGGAGCCUGCAGUGACCUUCCAGAUGUUACUAAACUACACCUGCCAUCUUCUCUGACCAUUGGUCAUGCUGUCUGCACUGAUGGAAGUGGGGGGUCCAACUAUGCCCAAAGGGCUACAAAUUUACCAUCCUGUUCUAGAUGUACAACCAUCCACUUUGCAAUGCUUAGCCAGAUUCUUGAAAUAUCAGAAUGCAUAUUUAAAUGCAUAGAUUAAAGAUUUGUGGCUCAUCUACACUUCCACUUGUCCCAUGCCUAGAAAGCAUGGAUCUGAGCAGUUUCCGCUUGUCAUGUGCUUUCUAAGCACAGGUCCAAGUGGUUUUACCUUCGCCCCACCACAUCCCCCUGGAAAACCCACUCUUUAGCACCAAGUUGGAACAAAUGUCAAUCUUCAGAAAACACAAUUACCAUUUAUCCUGAUUCAGUGCUGAAGGUCGGGUUUCCCUGGGAGAAAGCGGUGGGGCAAAUGCAGGUGUGGAUAAGCCCUUUGUGUGUGACAAGUUGUGUUGCAAUUAGGUAACUAUGGCUGCCUUUGCAUUCGGUGUUUUUGGAAGUGUUAUAUUUUUGGUUGUUUUUAUUACUGAAUUUGUAUACCGCCCUUCAUCCAAAGAUCACUGGGCAAUUCAUAACAUAAAAAUACAAAAUGAGAACACAAAAUACAUAACAAAACAAAAACAAACCAAUAACCCUCUCUCCCACAAACACAUUUAAAAGGCUAUCAAAUGUUUAAUCAGCCAAAUGCCUGGUUAUAGAGAAACAGUUUCACCUGGCGCCAUGUGUAAUGAAGGCACCAGGACAGCCUUCCUAUGGAGAACAUUCCAGAAAUGGGAAGCCACCACAAAAAAGGCUCAUUCUUAUGUUGUCACCCUCCAAACCUCUCAUGAGGGCCUGAGAUGAAGAUCGCAGGGUCCAGGUCGGUUCAUAUGGGGAGAGGUGGUCCUUGAGGUAUAUUGAUCCUCAAUAUAAUACAGUGGUACCUCUGGAUACGAACGGGAUCCGUUCCGGAGCCCUGUUUGCAUCCUGAAGUAAACGUAAGACGUGACUGCGCAUGCAUGGGUCGUGUUUCGCCACUUUCGCGCAUGUGCGUGACGUCAUUUUGAGCAUCUGAGCAUGUGCGCGUGGCAAAACCCAGAAGUAGCGCGCUCCGUUACUUCUGGGUUGCCGUGGAGCACAACCCGAAAAUAUUCAUCCCGAAGCUACUUCAACCGGAGGUAUGACUGUAGUUGAGAGGCUCACAGAUUUCUCAUACAUAUGCUAUAUUAAACUAUACGUAUUUUAAAGUCAGAAGCGUAUGGUAUGGUAAAGCUAUGAAAGUACCAUUCACAUUCACAAAUCUCAUAUUACAAUAUUGUAUACUGCCACAUCUUUACCUCAGCUAGGCAGCAAAUAUUGUGAGCAAUGUUAGGCUGAAGUUACCAGCCCAUGAUCAUCAAGUAAGCUUUGUGGUUGGCUCAGAUUUGAACCAAUGACAAUGUUGUCCACACUGAUGAUAAGAAUUCAGCCUACUACACAGUCAAUACAAAUCCCAGUCUAUCAGUUCUAGGCAGUGACCAGCACAGAUGCCCUGAAAUGUUCAUCAAGUGCAUUAUAAAAGAGCUAUGAAGACAGUCGGAGCUGACCUGCUUUCUAAGAGAAUGCAGUUCCAUAACAACUUGCAUUAUUUAGGGCCAUUAGUGCUAGUUCUAAUAAUAACAAAGACUUAUUAAGACUCAAAUGCUUCAUGAACAUUAUUACCUCUGAGCAAAACACUCUUGCCCUGGCACAGUAAUUGGUUCUUUUGCAGCAAGAAUAGUUAUUGUGUCCUGUUUUUAGAAUAACACGGGGAAAAGCAGUUUCAGUGGGGAAAUUAAUCUGAAAUAAAUAUUUAAGAAGAAAGGUUCAGUGUAGCCGAAAAUGGAAUGAGGUGAAAGAGUUGCACAUCACAUUUGGCUUGACAUUUGCUUUUAUGGUUUAAAGCCUAUUCUAGUAUUCCCUAGCAAUAACUUGUAGUCAUGCUUGGAAUCUUGUUCCUCUUACUGCAAAUAUUAUUUAAGGGCAAAAGGAAAAUCCAGCUGUGUGUAAUUGUUUUAAUAAGGUGUAUGACGUAUGUUUAGCAUAUCUAUCUUGUAGCAAGAAAUUAAAUAUUGGCAGAAUGGUCCAGCAGAAGGUCAGGCCAACUACAUCUGCCUUUUCCUAUUUGGCUUUUGGGUACAUUGCUAAAUAUGCUAAUUAGAAUUUAAGAAUCAUUUCAUCCCAAUUCAGGAUUAUUCCCUACAAAGUCUGCAGAAUUAUUUUCCUUAAGCCUGCAGCGAAGGGCUUCUUGGCUCAAGUGUCUUCAUUUAUUUUUCGGUAUGUGAGUGUGCAUGCAUGUGUAUCUUACAACAAAGAUAACAUUUCAUGCUUAAAACGAGGUGGGCUGUGGUCCAUAAAAACUUGUGCCGCAAUAAACAAAUUAGAUGCCAUGACUCCUUAUUGUUCUUGUUUUAAAUAUCUGGGUCUCUUCGAGCCUUUUUUCAUUCAGAUGCUCAAGUCUUUCCCCUCUGUUUUCUCCAAAUAGAAAAACUGUUCAGGUGCCAAACAUUCUCCAGUACCCAUCAAGACAAAUGUAAUUAUUUUUCUUUUAAGUGAGACUUCAAAAUGGUUUAUUUUGUCAGCUAUAACAUGCAGUCCUUACACAUUUGUAUCAGAUACUGGGGAACAAUCUUAUUUAAAACUGGCAGCUAAUAACAGAUGUUAGGAAGAUAACUAAAAAGAUUCUCAUUUAGGGGAUGUAAUAUGCAUCAGAGUUUGGGAAGUUACAUUCUCCAGCUACUGCGAGAGGCAAAAAGAAAGAAAUAAAGAAAGAAGUUCAAAGCAAGGGCGGGGAGAGAGAGAGUUGGCUAAACGUGAACAGUCCCUAAUCUUCCAUCCAACCUACUUAAAUUUCAGCAAGGGCUAUUCUUAAAGGGAAGCUAACUCAUGUGUGAAUUCUAAGCAAAAUCAUUUGGAUUCCAUAUGUAUGGUAGUCCAGGUGCUAUUCUAUAUAAAAGAGUAUAUGCAUACAACUCCCGAUAGCUGAAUAAUAUAAAUCAAAGGGAUUGUACGGUUUCUUAAAGAAAAGAAAAAAGGAUACAGUAAACUAGGUGAUUUGAUAAAAAAAACCCAAUUCUUAAUUGUAUACGGUGAAAGUUUGGUGGAAGGAGACCAGGCCACAAAUCUAUCUGCCUGGAGCUCUUUCACAUGUUUUCACCAGCCAUAGCUCAGGUGGAAGCAGGAUGCAUAAACAGGCCCCUGCGUCUGACUUUAAUAGAUGGACAGGAUCAUAUGUGAGGAGAUGGUCCUUCAGCUAUGAAGAAAGGCAGUGUAGUACAACAGCGUAAAUAUGAAUAGAUGUGGAGAGUGCACUACAGCAGUGGACCCUAAAUGCGUAGAGUUAAUGUUUCUCCUACCCAAAACUAAAAUGAGACAAAAAGCAUAGCCAAGGCGAC